UUGAUAAAGUGUAACUAAUAAUAAAAAAAAUUCUCGCUAAAUCUGAUUUAAAGUUGUAAGAUUUGUAUAAGAGUGCGUUUGAUUCGCGCUAUCUUUUAAAGAUUCCUAGUAAUUCAAUGGGAAUAAAAAAAUAUGACGGUAUUUGGCUAAACGCACUAAGUAAUCUAGUUCGUAAUAUUGGAUUCACUUGGAAAUAAAAUCCACUCCAAAAUACUAAUCUCAUUCCCUUGAGGGAAGGUGGAUAUCCUCAUAUUAAUAGAUUGGGGUAAUUAUAAUAUGUCUAAUCUAUUUCUUUCUUUCUACCCGCCGGCUAAUUGAUAUUAUUUUUUUUUACACUCUAACCUUGUAUCUUUCUCUAAAUUUAUUUUUCUCUCCAAAAUUCAACUUUUUUUUCUCUCUCUAAACUAAGCUUUCUCUCUCUCUCUUUCUAAAAUUUCAACUCUCUCACUCCCUCUAAUUUCGACUAUAUUUUUCUUUUUAUUUUUUUAAUUAUGCUCUCUCUCUCUAACUUAUACUCUCUCUCCUUUUUUUCUAAAAAAAUAUUGAAACUUUUGGUAACAUUAUUUAAAAAUAAAUAAAUAAAUAAAUAAAUAAAUAAAUUAUAUAUUUUUUGUAAUAUUAAAUAACAUGGCUAAUAAAUAUUAUCGUGCGAACCAAACACAGAAAUUUCACAUUCUUAGUAAUAGAUAAAUAGGAAUAAGAUUCUCGGAUGUCUUUUAUUCCUAGUAAUCUUUCAUAAUGCGAACCAAACGCACCCUAAGAGUCAUUUGCAUUGUAAAAAAUUUACUAAAUUCCUUCAAAUGAAUUAAGUUUCUAUCAACUAUUGUAUUAAACAACAUAUUUAAAAAAUUAGAAUUCUAAUUUUUUAGAAUUUCAGAAAUUGUAAUAGUCAAACAGAAAUAAAUUCUACCUCACCAGUAAUAUAAUGUAAUCGUCACUUUCACCUUCAUCAAAUGCACAGUAAGUCAGUAACUAAAUCGAAACACCGAUAUUAUCACUUAGAUACGAUUUAGCAGCUAAAUUAAUUAUUAUACGAUAAUAAACAAAAAUAUUCCAUCAAAAUAAAUGUAAAAAAAUUAUAAUUUAUUUAUGGAUAAUUAAAGUAUAGUUAACCCUCCUUGUUAAUGAUAAUAACAAUAAUAAUAACACCAUUCUACCGAAAAAGUCUCUAACCUCUCUUUCCAGUUUGGAGUCAAAUCCAACGGAGGGGCGAUCUCUUCCCCCGUCAACGCCAUUUCAAAAAUUAAUUUUUUUUUCUCGAUGCUUCUACUUCCCCGACUCCUCCCCGCGUAACCCUAAAUCCCCAAUCCUCACCGCUCCGAUAAUCACGCGAUCGAUCCAACGUAGCUUGCGAUCCCCCUUGACUCGAAUCUCGGCCUCGAGCGAUGACUGGGUUCGUUGCUCUCUCUCUCUCUCUCUCUCUCUCUCUCUCUCAAUGAUCGUCGCCUCUUUGGUGGUGGAUUGUUUCGAUCUUAUCGUGCUUGGAUUUGUCUAUUUGGGGCUUUAGUGCUUCAAUGAGCUUCGGAGAUCUUUAUGAGGUCGAUAUUGGUGUUGAUGAAAUGGUUUAAAUGUGUAAAGGUUGUUCUUUUAUGUUAUUUGCUUUGACGAUAAUGAAAAGGCGCUUGCUUUGGUCUCGCGUCGUAGUAAUUGUGCUCGAUUCUCUGUUUAUAUACUGCGGUUGAAUUUGUAGUGUUCGGGGUGACUUUGUUUUUUGAACUUGAGAACAAAGAACUAGUAAAAAUUCCAUCUUUUCUCUAUACCAUUUUAUGCGUAGGUUUACUUGUGCCAUUAUAUGGUCAAACAUUGUUUAGUUGUGUUUAGUUUUUUCACUUGUUGAUUUAAGUAUUUGGUGAGGAAUACGUGUAAGUGAAUAAAUAUCGCAGAAAAAGGUAGUUUAGUGACAAUGGUGCACAGGUUUGUUCGAAAAUUGAUUUAGGUUAUAGGAGACGAGGAACUUUAUUUACCAGGCUUUCUGAAUCACCAUGCUUGAACUCAUCUUCUUAACUUAAUAGGUAAUCAUUUUUACUGAUCUGUUACUAUUUAUCACAAGAAAAAUUGUGAUCUUCUGUGGCACGCCUCGCCAUGCUAGCAGUACACAGUCAGUUGUCGAUUGUUUGUUCUGCUUUAGGUGCCUUUGAUUUCUAUAUUGUAUUGUUAGUGCUCUAAAAUUAUUGAAUAACCUGCUUACUACUUUGAUGUGAAUAUGUGGUGCUGAUUAUAUAUUUAUGCAUUUUAUGCAGACCAUCAUGGCUGAUUGACAGCAGAAGAAUUGCUUCGAAGAUAAAAAAUGCUUCUGAGCCAGUGGAUCCGAAUCGAUACAAAUUGAUCAGCAACCCGACUAAAGCUUGUCCUCAAUGCAAGCACAUUAUUGAUAAUAGUGAUGUAAGAUAUCAUUUUGCAAACUUUGUUUUUUUCCUCUGUGGAUAGAAAAUGUGCUGAUCUACGGUCAAAGUUAGUGUGCAUUGAAGUUUAAAUGGUAUAUUCAUCAGUAAAAUAUUUCUUUAUUUCUAGUGUAGUGUAUUUAGAUUGGUCUUGGGCUCUUGGCGACGUGGUAAGGUUGCUCCAUCCAAGGUGUUAUUGGUUUUAAACUAUUCAGAUUGUUUUUUUGUUUUGUUCUGGGAUGGAGGUAUGUACAUUUUACACAUCCCUAGAGGUCGCAUUAGCAGUAGCUUCUUGCUUCAUGCUACUUUUUGUUUGUCCGUUAUUGAGUAUAAGUCAUGCUAACACUGUUGCAUAGAAAGUAUUUUGUAUAUUGCAGGUUUUUUUUGUGCACUUAGUCAGCAAGAGGCUAUUGAAAUGACAGAAUUUCCUUCUUUGUAGUGUAUGGCUAGUUUGACGUCCCUAAUAUCUCAAAAGGGCUCUAAGUUGAAAUGUCUCGUCAGCUAAAGUGCGUAUAUAACAAUUAUGUCAUGAGGUGUAACAUAAGCAUUUUUAAUAUUCUUGGUUGAAAAGAGAUUAAGAGGCUGGGCUCACUAUUUUCCAAUCACCAUAAGCAGGAAGUGUGAGUGGAGAAAGAGUUGCCUGUUAACUGUGACUUGCUGAUGUUAGUUAUUGUGUUUCAGGUUGUCCACGAGUGGCCUGGCUUACCUAAAGGUGUGAAAUUUGAUCCAUCUGAUCAAGAGCUGCUCUAUCAUUUGAUUGCGAAAGUUGGGAAUGGGAACGCAAAAUCUCAUCCCUUCAUUAAUGAAUUCAUCCCCACUGUUGAGGAAGUCGAGGGCAUCUGCUAUACGCAUCCUCGCAGACUACCAGGUAGUGCAAGAAAAAGGCUUUUUUUCUUCUUUUUUUUUUUUCUACUUUUGUACUCUACUUUCUUUCACCAGAUCGACUUUUCAUUGCGAAAAUUUUCUUUUAUUAGGAGUUAAGCAGGAUGGAAGUGUAUCUCAUUUUUUCCAUAGAACUUUCAAAGCAUAUAAUACCGGGACAAGGAAGCGUCGAAAGAUAAACAGCGAUGAACUUGGUGAUGUCCGCUGGCACAAGACCGGCAAGACAAAACCGGUAAUUAUUGAUGGAAAACACGUCGGCUGUAAGAAAAUAAUGGUACUUUAUAUGAGCACUGUGAAGGGGGGGAAGGCUGAAAAGACCAAUUGGGUGAUGCACCAACACCACCUUGGUAUUGAGGAGGAUGAGAAGGACGGCGAAUAUGUCGUCUCAAAGUUAUUCUAUCAGCAGCAGUCAAAACCAGGCGAGAGGAGUGCUCAGGACUUGAGAGCUUUAGAUACUUUGGAAGCAGUUGUUAAUGAAGUAGAGCCCAUGGGUAUUCCAGCCUUGCUUCCUGAAGGGCACGAUGAUGGUAGACAAGAUAUUGUUCACAGCCCUGUACACGACUCUAAUCAGGGUAUUCCAGACUUGCUCCCCGAAGAGCAUGAUGAUAAUACACAAGAUAUUGUUCGCGGUCCAGUGGACGACUCUAAUCAGGUAUUAUUUGGCCUUCAUAUUGGCUUUGGAUUCAGCUUCUUAUAGCUGCUAAAACCGUUAGAUUCAUUUGGUUGAGCUGUCAUUGUGCCUACUGACUCUAGAGGACUGUAAAACCUAAUAUUUGCCAAGUCCUUACGAAAGAAAUAUUGGAGGGCAUAUAUGAAAGCUUAGAUUUAUUCUAGAUGCAUCUGUAAAAAUCAAUUUUCUUUUCCUAUUUUUAAGAAAAGUUGUAAUGCUAUGUAAAAAAUACAGGUUAGUGUAUAUCAGGGAGCGCAAGAAGAGCACGGACAAACUGAAAAGCCUGAUGACCAAGAUAAUAAUCCACCGGAAGAAGCAAAAUGGUGGGAGGGCGAGUCGCAAUUUUUAUUAGAUUCUCAGCAGCUGGCAGAGGGCAUUGCAAUUUGUGACGAGUUUUUGCUGAGUCAGACUUCGUGUGGUGGUGAUGAGCCUAAAAAGAGCAGACCUCACUUAUCUGAUUAUGCCCACAUGGCGGUAGAGGACUUGAAGAAGGAUCUAGAAGAAUGCCAAAAGCUGAGCAACUUAGAAAAUCUGGGGAACUUAGACCACACGAAUGUCGAGCUUGAUACACCUUCAGACUUUCGACUAAGCCAGCUUGUAUGAUCCUCAGACUUGUUCUGCAAAAACUUAGUUUGGUAGCAUUCCCUGCUGAUUUUUAUGCAAUUCUAACUUUGUUAUCUCUUCCUGCAGGAGUUUGGAUCGCAAGACACUUUCUGAUAUGGGCCGGAAGCAAAGUUGCUGAUUGAUCAUUGUAGCUUCUGGAAGAAGCAGCUCUUACUUUUUGGAAUUAAUUUCAGAAAUUAACUGGCUUGUGUGCUUUGUGAAAGCAAUGCAGUGAUUGAUUUUGUAAGAGCACCUCUCAAUGUAUUUUGUCUUAUGUCCUACGAAUUGUAGAAUAUCUGAAGAUCGUGUAUUUAAUAUAUACUUAUGAGCACGUUUUGUGAAGAAAAACCUUAAUACGAAGGCAAAGGUAAUGUAAAACAUAUGUGCUUUGUUUUUACGGAAUUCGUAUUAUUCGUUCUAUGUCUGGGUGACAUCUAUAGCUUAUUAUUCAUUACAUGUUGUGGUAUUACGUCUGAAUGACAUUUAGCUUCUCAUUCAUUAACGCGUUCUUGUAUUAGAUGGAGUCAGAGUCGGGAGUUCGCCACAUACCGCGAGGUGAGGUCGCAAGCUUCAGUGAGCUCGGAGUUCACGACUUCGCCUCCCACCCGCCCGAUGUCGAGAUCAAGAUAUGGUUGGACACUGCAGAACCAAACACAUGCUCUAACCUUUUUCUUCUUUUGUUAACUUUGAAUCAGAAAGUAUGCCGCCAUUCGUUCCAAAUGUAAAGCACGCCUUCUUCGACCUUCUCGCACGGCCCUUCUCAACCUGAUUGUGCUUAUUUUGGAUAUAGAUCUCUAAGGUAGCUGCAGCCUUUUAGUUUGUGUCUCACCAACUUCUGCUAAUUAAAGUGGAAGCUUUAAUCCGGAACUUUUGGCUUAACCCUGCAAUACUUCAAAUUCUGUUUAACUAAGAUAAGUUUUCACUACAGGUUUCAUAUCUUAGUAAGUGCUCUCGAAAAAUGUCCAUGUAGUAGGACAUGUACUGUACAUGACUUAAAAGGGGUAGCAAUAAAAGGGAGAAAAGAUGUGUCAUAAAAUGACCAACGUGAGAAUCGAAUUCAAGAUCUCUUCGGAAGGAGGUGGAGUUAGAACAGACUCCGACUUUCAAAGAUGGAAAAUCGGUCUAGUUAAAAAUAGUUCGGAAUUGCUUUAAUAAAAUACAGUUUCCUAUGGAGCUAGUAAGUGGUGGCAGAGAUUUAAUGGUUGAUUUGGGGUUAACGUUCGAGCAUGCUUUUCAAAACGACCAUCUUCUUAUGUUUCUCUUUAAUCUCCAUUUAACCAAGCAUCUAAACAUUGCGAGGUAAAGAAAAAAGAGAAAACUCUUGAGUCUAAACAGAAAAUAAUAGAAUCUUGACACAAAUUUCCGUUCGAAAAUCAGGUCCAAAUAUUAUUAUUAUAUUUCGGGAAAACUAAUGAGAAUGUUCCUCCUUUGUUUAUUUAUUUUGGGAGAAACUUGAAAGCAAAUAGCUCGUAACGAGUAUCUAAAAGUUGAACGCGGUUCGUGGAGGACCGUUAACUUGCCCUGUAACGUUAGAAUUUCGGAACAACUUGUAUUUAUUCAAACUCACAUAUUUUAUAAUUAUCUUAUGCGCAACGGGGUGAACAAGUAUUUUUUUCUCAACAUAUAAUUAUAUCAAAUACAUGUAUUAAUUGAACCUUUCUUAUGUAAAAUGAAGAAAAAAGAACCCACCCGAGGGUUCGUUGGGUCGUAAUUGAUUAUGAAUCUAUAAAUACAACAAGACAGAAACGAUCAAUUGACUGUAAAACGUUACCUUAUUAUUGUAUCGGUUAUUGAUGAGCUCAAUUCACGUCUUUCUAAAAACUCUAUAUAGUUUUGUAUUAUUACGUACAUUAUAAAGAUAAUACAUAAUUUAAUUUAAUUAGAUUUUUUUUUUUUUUUUGCUUCCUCUCGAUUUGUUGUUUCCUAUGAUUGAUUUGUAUGUGGUAAGGUUUCGCUACUAAGACCCUAUAAAUUUCUANUAUAAAACCGGGUCGGGUUCAGGUCGAUUGGCUCCUUGGUCGGUUAUUGCGUCCGCAUACACAUCUCAGCUACCGACCGAGCGCACCCGAUUCCCGACGCGCGUGUCACGCACGUGCCUAUCGAGGUAAAUCCUUCCUCAGCUCCGAGCUCGCCCAAAACUUUAAACUCGGCCCCACCCCCUCAUUCCCCGAUUCUUCGCGUAUAAAUAUACAACAUCGAAAAGGGUAAAGGAGAUGGAAUCGACGCUUGUGAGGAGCUUCGUCCGAAACCUUCCUAUCCUCACACGCACGCUUCCUCCGCCUCCGCCGCCGCCGCCGCAUGGCCUGCGCCUCCAACUUCGUCGUUUCGAUCGGAGAGCGCCAUCGUUGAUCUGAGGAAACCCUAGAGCGAGAGCGAGGAGGGAGAGAGGAGCCAUGGGUUUCCCUUGGGGCUUCUCCGGGAACAACCUCGUCAAGCGGCUUUGUAAGUCCCUCCUGAAGAAGAAAUUGGGGGAUUUGAUCCUCGGCGACAUCGAUCUCGACCAGCUCGAUGUGCAGAUCUCUAAAGGCACCUUCCACCUCUCCGAUCUCGCGCUCAACGCCGAGUUCAUCAAUUGGAAGGUGCGUUUCUUGGUGUAUUCUCGCUCUUUUUGCCGUUUUCUAGGGUUCUUGUGAUUGAUUCUUUGUUACGGGUUUCGGAUUGGAGUUGGAGGGUUUUGAUUGUUAGACAGUAGGUAGAAUUAGAAGCAUCAUCUCGCUCUAGGUUAUGUUCCAGGGAAAGAUUCUUCUUGAAAGGAGUAUAACUUGUAUAAUUGAUUUGUUGCAAUGAGAAAAGGAUCAACUUAGGCCAUCUUCAUUAGAAUUUUGAAGGAAAGUUGGAUUUGGGAGCUCCUGUCUAUCAAGAACGAAGACGUAUAUAAUGAUGUCAUUAGGUUCACUCUAGAAUUUGAAUUUGAUUGCAAGAAGGUGGCAAAUAUUUGUUGAGCUGUUUAUUAUUGAUUUAAUGGACUCUCCCUUUUUGUCUUUAUACGCUCGUUGAUUGGGUAAACGUUAUCGAAGAGAUAUUUGUGAGAGAAAAAUGUUGUUUCCCAGCAGUUUUCUAAAUGAUUACCAGGUACAGAUACUGUUAAAGCAAUUGGGAAACAUUGCCUCCGGUUGAGUCAAAUCUCUUGCUUAUUUCACUAACCUUCUACCCCAUAAACAUGAAUCAUCUGCUUCCUAUGAAGUCAAGUUGUAAUCGUAACUGUGAUAAAUUUAAGCUCUCAACAUCUCUAGAAUUUAAUAAAAGUUGACUUCUUUUUGAGAGGCAUUACAAGGAUGUCUACAAUUGAGGUAGCGCCAGACAUAAGCGGUUUUGAAUUUUGAUCAUCUUAAGAAAUAGAAGGAAGUACAUCGAAGAGUUUCAUAUUGCACUAUUGAACUUUGAACCAAGUUUAUGUAGAAGAAAAUCCAUGGGGAACAGAUGUAUUAAACUCUAUCUAUGUUAGUCUAGUAUCAUGUUUAAGCUUAUUUUGUUUAUCUCUUCUUUUUUUUUUUUCCAGUUGGUUGGAUCUGGUAUCAUGAUAAAAGAAGGAUCAAUGAAAUCCCUAUCAAUAAGAAUUCCUUUGAAGUUAAAGAGUUGUGAGAUAGAAGUGGAAGAGCUUGAACUUGUUCUUGCUCCAUGUGCUCUAAGUGAAAUUCCUCCUUCAGAUGCUGAUUGUUUGAUGUCUGGGAAUGAUGGUCAAGAGCAUAAAGUGAUCGAUGCCCAAAAGAUAGGUCAAGAAACACCCAACUACAUUUCUAGUGCUAUUCCUCGUGAUGUUGACGAAGGAGUCAAGAAAAUUGCCAAUGUUGUUAAAUGGUUUCUUACAAGCUUUCAUAUCAGGAUAAAGGAUAUUUGUGUAGUUUUUGAUCCCCAGACCAAUUUGGAAGUAGACAAAUCAGUCUGUAAUAGAUCCUUGGUUCUUCGAAUUAAAGAAACAAAUUUUGGAACUUGUCUCUCUGAAGAUGCGGUGGUUAAGUUAAAUAACUUCAUAAAGUUUGAAGAAGCAGUCAUUGAGUUUCUUCAGAUGGAUGAUGUUGAUAGGCAGCUUCACAGUGAUUUAGAAGCGAGCACAAUUGAAAAAUGUUCAGGGAAAGGCACCACUGCAAUCUUGACUGGACCAAUAGGAGGAUUCUCAGGGACAUUGAAUUUGAGCAUACCAUGGAAAAAUGGUUCUUUAAAUCUUCAAAAAAUUGAUGCCGAUGUCAGUAUUGAUUCCUUAGAAUUAAGGGUCCAACCUAGCAGUAUUCAAUGGGCUAUAGACAUAUGGAAUUCACUCAAGAAUACCACAACAAAUCAACUAAAUCAUGUAUAUAAGGCUGCAGAUGCAUCUAACUGUGGCUCCAAACUUAAUCCAUGUUCAUAUUCGGGAGGUUCAAGCAAAUUAGGUGCAGGUGUAGUGCCAGCCAGCAGAGAGGAUAUAUCAAAAAGCAUAUUUGCGACAAACAGUCAAGAUAAAAUUCAAGACACAUUUUUCACAAGGACAAAUGUAAUUCAAAACUGGAUACCAGAAUCAUUUGGCUGGGAAGACCAGACUGAUCAAGAUUCAGAUUAUGAUGCAAGGUUUGUUUAUAACCCUUAGCUGCAAAUUUGAUCCCUUCUGAUAUUCACAUCCACUUGGUGUAGACAAAUUAACUGUGUCGAAAAUGUAUUUAUUUUGUUUGAAAUUUUUGUUCCUUUACUUGUUGCAGGUUAUCAGUUUGUUUUUCUUAUCUGCAUGAAAUGUUUAGUGUCUAGUUAGUAUCACAUUUUAUACUGAAGCUUGAAUUUUGAAGUAAACUGAAGUUUUACAAAGCACGUGGAACCAGUUUAUCUCAUAGUUGUUAAAUUCUGAAAUUUAUUUGAAGUUCUGUUUUUAUGUCCAAUUAUCCGGCUUUGCUUUAGAGCAGGAGGAUAUUAAAGAUAGUACACUACUCAGAUUCAUUGUCGCCUAUGUGAAAUAAUAAGUACCAUUUUUCUUUGUGUUUUUGCCAUUUCUAUCAAUCAAGCCCUUCUUGCCUUUUUCUAUUUGAGGUGUAGACGUGAUACAACUUCCAGGUCUCUCGGUUUUUCUUUCAAUAUUCAGAUCAUCCAACAUAAAGUGAUCUUUUUUCACUACAAAGUAUAUGACCUGCCUAAGUCAUUUCAUCAUUUGCUGCAGUGUCAAACCUCUUUUUUCGUUCAUAGCUUCUUGACUUACUGAUUGAUGUUUCCCUCUUUCUUGAUUUACAUUGUAAUUAUGUGCAACUCUUGAUACCCUCUCUUGUUGGUAGUUUGGUCGACAUGCUCCAGUAGCGCGAUGGCAUGAGAAUUUGCAUUGUUAUAUUAAAGACGUCCUCAACUUGAAGUUGUACUUUUUAAUUUUUCUUCAUCCUUUUUUGUCUAACUUAUCAAAAAGGAAGCCUGUUGUGUCCUGUUUCUUUUCACCUCUUAUUUCAUUUUGUUCUGUUGUUAGCUAACUGUAAUGAACUAGCUCUCAAGAAGAAAGGUUAUUUUAUUUAAUGUAGGUUUAAUGUCACAAGUUUUACCAUAAAUUACUGUGCUAUUGACCUUUCUCAAUUGAUACUGAUUUAUAUUUACUUUUUUUGUUCUGUGAUAUUCUUUGCAGCAUUGAUCAGUUUUUUGAGUGUUUUGAGGAAAUGAGAAGCUCCCAAAUGAAUUCAGGAAAUAGUGGCAUAUGGAACUGGACUUGUUCUGUUUUCAAUGCAAUAACAUUUGCAUCCAGUCUUGCUUCUGGAUCAGAUCAGAUUCCUGGAGGUAUAUUCAUUUAUGUAAAUCAAUGUCUUUGAUUUUGAAUUUUCUAAAGAAUUGCCUUUUCUGUUGAAACAACGAACCAAUAUCUGGUUUACUUUUGUAAGUAUUAAAUUAUGCUAAAUAACCAUUGUUCUCCAUACUAGAAACGGCGUUUUUAAUAUUUAUAUUCAACACUCCCAAUCACGUCUAGGCUCUAGACUUUUUGAUGGGUACAAGAUAUGGAUUUGAAUUAAAUGGGAGAAACUUAAAUGAAGCUAGGAGCCUGACGGGACUUGAACUCAAAACCUCAUGCUCAGAUAUCAUAUUAAAUUAUGUAAAAUAAUCAAUUUUCUCCUAUAGCUUAAAUUACUAGAGAACGGGGUUUUUGAUAUUUAUAUUCAACUGUAAAGGUAUGUAGUAAAUCAUUUUUGGUGACAAUCUUGGUAUCACUAAAAUCUUACCUCAAUGUUUGAGAUCUGUAAUGGCUGUAGAUAGAUAAAGAUUUAUAAACUUUAAUUUCUAUAUGCUGCAUCAGCUACAAUCUCUUAGGUCUCCUUGGCUCUUACAUAUAGCUACUUGACCAUCUUUAUGCAGAACAACUCGUCGAGAAAACCUUACGAGCUGCUAUCGCUGAGAUUUGUGUUGUUAUUUCCUUUGGUGAUGAAGAAAAGAACCAUCUUGACUUUUCCAACAAUGUUCUCAAUUCAUUUUUAUUUGGGAAAAGCUCUGAUUCUUUUCUUAGCUGCCUUUCAUCAAUGCACGUUGAGCAGUCAACCUUGAAUGAAGUUAGUACUGACAAUCUAAAUAUGAACCAUUUGGAAGCGAGGUUUCAGAAUGUAUUUAUUGAUUUGGAGGUAUGGUUUAUGUGUUCAUUCCUUCCAUUUUCUCUUCAGUUAUUCAUUGUAGGUUUUUUUAAUGCUUUUUUCAUAUAAUUAUACUUCUACCUAACUCUAUCAUUUGACGAAGUAAGCAGACAUAUCCUCAAAAUAUGAAGUUUGAAGCAUCAGUCGGGCAUAUAAAGCUUGAUGAAUAUUAUGAUGAUGGAAAGCAUGCUGCAGAGUCUGGCUAUCAUUUCAGGAACCCUUCCUAUGACCAAGUGGUUAUAAAUCAGCAUUUGAAGAAGGGAAUUCAAGCUGUGCUUCCACCAUUUCUUUUUCCCGGGCCAGAUCAUAAUUUACAAUCUUAUAUCAAUGACAGUGCAGAAACUGCAGAAUAUACUUUAAAUCCUCAGGAUGGGCUGAUCAAGGUUAGAUUGUUCGAAUCUUUUGACAAAUGCAAUUGUCAAUAUGCUGUCAGUUCUAAAGAGAUAGAUGGCAAGCCAGUGAUGUCAACCUCCAUAAAUGUCCUUGUCCCACCAAUCAUUUUCUGGAUUCAUUUCCACUUAGUGUAUGUGCUGCUGGAUCUCUUCAAGCUAGUUGAAAGUUCAAUGAAGAGAAGCAACACCGAGGAGUUCCAAUCUGGUGGGUUGUCUGGGAGUCAUUCUUCCUCACAUGGUGGUGCUGAAAGAAGCAAUUUGACUUGCAUAGAAACUGUAUCUGCAGAAGCAAGCCUAAAGGGGAAUAUAGUCUUCUCACGUGCAAGAGCCAUAGUAUGUUUUCCUUCUAGUUUCGAUGGAGACUUCAGUCGUCCAUCCUCUUUUGAUAAGUUUAUAAUUUUUGACCAUACUUCGUCACUGAGCUCUGAAGAAGUUUCAGGGAUUUCCUCACUUCCGGCAGCAAGAUCUUUCAGGGAUUAUCCUUGUGCAAAUUCCACUUCUAUCCAUCUAGAUCUGAAAAAUUUUGACAUUUAUUUGGUGGAAUCCAUGUGCCAUGAUAAUUUAGAGGAUAGAUUUUGUUCAGUAGAUAGGCAAACAUUCUCCAUAGCAAACAUUCUCUCUGUUACUAACAGAGCCAGGGACCAUCAUUCUGGAGUCACUAUGGUCUGGCAGAAGGGUCCCGUGACUGGUACUUGGAUGGCUAGUAGAGCUUGGAGUUUGUCCACAUCACACAAUAAGAAGGAUACCAAGAAAGUUUUUGGUGAAGGGACUGGAUUUUCAUCUGCGGCAACUUCGAAGGAUCUGCAGGAAAUGAGUUCUACUAUUCGUAGGGAGCUGAUUCUGAGUUCUGAAUUUCUAUUGCAUGUGCAAUUUAGUCAUGCUUCAGUUCAUCUUGGUAAGAAAGACUAUAUGCUGCUGAACCGUCUGCUAAAUUAUGUUUUUGAUGGGUUCUCCAAUAGAGGUGCUACUACCUGUGAGAACAGUAAGGCUGGGGAGUCAACUCCAGGUGACCAAAUUGCUCCUCAAACUUCCAUCUUUUUGGAAUGUGGAAGCUUGGAUAUUUGCGCUAAACUGGAUGAAGUUUUUGAGGUUAGUCACUUGUUACAGAGGGAGCUAGAAGGUUUGUGGAAGUCCUUUAAGUUGAGUAUAGAGAAGUUUGAAUUGCUAUCUGUUUCAAAUAUUGGUGGGGUUAGUAAUGCGAAGUAUUUAUGGGUAAACCAUGGAGAGGGAGAACUUUGGGGCUCUGUUUACGGUGGAAAUGAGAGAACGGAUGAAGUGGCUAAAGAUUUUCUCCUGAUCGUCUGUAGGAACUCUGCUAUGGGACGUGGUGAUGGUGAAGGCACAAAUGCAUUGUCUUUUGGGGCUGCUGGCACUUCUGUUACACACAUGUGGAAUCCAAAGUUAUCCGAGUCUUAUCUUUCUGUUAUCGUCCGUAGUGGGACAAUUGUUGCACCUGGUGGCCGUUUAGAUUGGAUUAGUGGGAUAUGCUUAUUUUUCAGUUCACCUUCAAAAGAAAAAGAACAAUCAGGAAAAGAUGACGAGGAAAGUAGAGAUUCCAAAAGUGGCAUGGUUUGUAAAACAUCUUUCUUUCUUGAUUUGGUGGAUAUUGCUUUGAGUUAUGAACCCCAUAUUAAAAACACAAUAAUUGGAGGUGAUGCUGCAGACAUGGAACCUGAGUAUGUUGUUGAACCUGAGGAAGAGAUGGACAAGCAAUCUGUGGCGUGCCUUUUAGCUGCAGCAUCACUUGGCCUCUUUAAUCAUACUGAAGUGAACUCUACAAGUACUGAGUAUCGUAUCGGACUACACGAUGUAGGGUUUCUUAUUUGUCAGUCAACUGGAUCAAAAAAUGUGAACUGUGGCUAUCAUGUAGGCUAUCUUCGUGAAACUGGCUAUGUCAAGAUUGCUCAGAACACACUUGUGGAAGCUCUUUUGAGAUUUAAUAAAGAUUCCUUUUGGGAGCUCGAGAUAUCAGAAUCACAAUUUAACCUUGACACCUGCAGCGAUACGACGGGUGGCCUUAUCUGUCUAAUUGCCCAACUUCAGCAGCUGUAUGCACCUGAUGUGCAGGAUGCUAUAAUACAUCUACAAUCUAGAUGGAAUAGUUUCCAACAAACCAAGGAGGAGAGCAUUUCGAGUGACGAGGUUGAUAAGUUUGAGAACAGCAGCAUGAAGAGCUUGCCAGCAAGUGAUGAAGGCAGUAGGUCAGUCGGAUUACUAGAUGAGAUACUCGAGAAUGCUUUUUACAUAGAUGGAGGAGAACCUGUAUUUUCUGAUGACUCUACAGAGCUUGGUGAUGCAUAUGCUUCAAACGUUCAGGUUGGGAAUUCAAUGGCUGGUUCUGAAGAGCGCGUUCAGAUAUCACCGGAGGUUAAUUCUUGCUUGUCUCAAAUUAUUGACAGCUACUAUGUUCCCACCUUUCUAUCAUCGUCACCUAAUGAAGUACGCAAGUAUGAAACAUGUGAUCGUGUUCCCAGAGACGUCGAAGGGGGAAAGAGCAGGUGGUAUGACGAUUCAUCCUUGAUGAUAGUGGACAAUCAUAUGUCAGAAACCAACAGUCAACUUGGAGAACUGGUGAACCGAGAAGAUACGGUUGGUUCCGGUAGUUCUGAUCCUACUGAGUCCUCCAUUUUAAAAGGAAAGGUUCUCCUUCAAAACAUUGAUGUGAGGUGGAGAAUGCAUGCUGGGGUUGACUGGUCUACACCGGGAAGUUCUGUUGGCAGUUUGAGCUCAAGUGGAAGAGAUGGAAGUUCAUGUUUAGAGCUUUACAUUUUAGGGUUAAAUCUUCAAUAUGAUAUGUACCCUGAUGGAGAAGUUUGUGUUUCAAAUAUUUCCCUUUCUGCUCAGGAUGUUAAUCUUUAUGAUAGAAGCCGGGAGGCCCCAUGGAAAAUGGUAAGUUCAUAGCUACUUUUGUAUAUGAUGAUGUUGUUAUUGAUUGUUACAUAGAUGAUUAUUGAUAUUUAUAUUUUUGAAGGUUCUGGGAUGUUACGAUUCAAAAGAUUAUCCAAGAGAAUCCUGUUCUAAGGCAUUCAGAUUAGAAUUAGAAGCUGUACGGCCAGAGCCACUGAUUCCUUUAGAGGACUACAGGUAAAUUAUCUGUUAGCUUCACUUUUCUCAUGGAUAUUUAUUCAUCUUCCAGUUGUAAUUGACAUUUAAGUAAGAAGUGUACACCUAUUGUCUUUCUUUUACUUGGUUUUUCUUUGCCAAAGUUCCUGCACGCCAAAUUAGAGUUCUAUAUAAGAGGACAUUCUUUAUCAUUUUCAAAGUACUAUCAGCGUCUUGUUGAUUAUCAAAGAAUUUCUACAAAAAUUUCUACAAAACUAAUAACUUUUUAUCUUUUUGCUAUUCUUGUUGUUAUGCUAGGAAUCAGGGUGACGAAUAGUUAUUCCUUGUAUAACAUGUAGCUUUGCACUAUUUCCCUUGAACAGUUGUUUAACUCAGAUUUCUGAAUUGUUCUUAUCUUUUGUUUGCUCAUAUUAUGCACAUUCAACUUGCAUUCGAAAUUAAGAUGGUAAAUAUUAUGGCAAUUGCUUUUUUUGGAGUUAUCUGGUAACUUGAGGUUAUUCGUUCCUAUUAAAAGAUAUUGGGUAGUUUUUUUUUUUUCUCACAAAAGAUAACAAUUCUUCUCAGGUUGCAUCUUGAGUUUCUGCCAUUGAGAUUGCAUCUUGAUCAAGGCCAACUCAACUUUCUCAUCCAAUUCUUUAGCAAGGACUCGAGUUCCGAUAAAUCUCAGAGUCUAGCUCAUGAUUUAGAUGAUUCUGAGAAUACAGGGAAAGAGAGGAUAAGCUUCGGGUGCCAAACAAUUGUGGAGGAGGCAUUGCUUCCCUUCUUUCAGGUCUUCAUGUUCUAUUCUUCUUGCCAAUCCCUUUUAAUGCAUUGUUCUCAUAUUACAAUAAAGUGCUUAACUCUUUUUCUUAAAACAUUUCACUUUCUUAAUUUAUUUUAAAUAAAUUAUUAUUAAGAGAUGUUGUCCCGGUUCUUAAACAUAUAUGUUCCCCUGAUGGUGAACAACAAAGAAACGUUCCACUACAUAUUAAACUGUAGACAAAUAUCAUGUUCUAAUUUUAUGAUCUAACUGUUACCGACCUUCCUCAUGCCAGAAAUUUGAUAUAAGGCCUCUGGUUGUUCGUAUUGAUUAUAUUCCUCGUCAUUUUGAUCCAGUCGCACUAAGCAAGGGGAAUUAUGCAGAACUUCUCAACUUAGUUCCAUGGAAGGUAACACAUGGACCUCUCGAGAGCUUUCCUGUAUCCCCCUUUUUUUGUGCUAUUCAGUAUCAAAUGUCAGUAGAUCUGUUUCAUUGCUGGUCACCAUCUUUAAGCAUUUGAUUGGGCGAUUUCUUAUUUGUGAAAUUUAAAGUUACAAACAUUUACCAUUAUUUUCUGCAGGGAAUUGAUUUACAGCUAAAACAAGUGUCUGCUGUUGGUAUUUAUGGGUGGAGCAGUAUCUGUGAAACAGUACUUGGGGAGUGGUUGGAAGAUAUUUCUCACAACCAGGUUGUCUUUACUUCUACUUAAUCACAUCCAUUCUGGGCAGCAAACAACAGUUAUUAUUUCACUAGAUUAGCUGAAUAUUAUUUUUAUCCUGACUCACAAUUAUAUGUCAAAUUGAAGGUUCAUAAAUUACUGAAAGGGCUAGCUCCUAUAAGGUCAUUAUUUGCUGUUGGUUCUGGCACUUCCAAGUUGAUUUCUUCACCAGUCAAAAGUUACAAGGAGGAUCGCAAGUUGUUAAAGGGAAUGCAGAGAGGUAAGAGAAACCAUCUAAAUUGGCAACAAAUUAGCUAUUUGCACUAUCUUAAGUUGGUGUCUUUUCACCAAUUAUUUCCAUCUGUGAGACUUGCUUCCCCAUAUUUAUAGCGAAAACAAAAGUUUGAUGUGAAGUGUGUUUGGUGUGUUAUGCAACAUUUACACUGGAUAUUUGAGCAUGUUGUUCACAGUGUUAGACAUGUUUUGACUGUUCUAACAUAUUCAGUUCAAUCAAAAUUUUAUAAAAGCAUGUUUUGUCCUUUAAGCAACUUUUCAUAAGCACAAGUUAUAUCAAAUCUUUUUUGAGUUCUCUUACAUUUUUAUGAUGCACUUAUUCAAUGCGCUCUAGACUACCAAGUGUUUUAAACAGUGUUUUAAAUAACAGGCGCUACCCUGUCAUAGCGUCCACUAUAGCGGAUUUACUACGCUAUCGCUACGCCAUAAUGUUCAGAGAGCAAUUUAGCGUAGUGAGUUUGUACUGGCCGCUUUAGUGGUACCAGGCUGCUAAAGCGUCCGCUAUAAAGCAGGGUCGAAGCGGGCGCUGUGGGCCAAAAAGCUUGGAACUUGAAAUGGGUUAAAAGGUCUUAUUGGGUAAUGUUAUGAAGUUAAAUAAAAUGAUUAAAACUCUGUAAAUAGAUUACAGUUCUUCAAGCUUUUUGUCCUUUUGUUUUGUUAGGUCAUAAUAUUUUGUAGUUAGUUUUAUAGAUAAUGACGUUAAAUAUGUAUAGGCUUGCAACGCUAGAAAAAUGUAAUGAUUUAUUAUAAAGGAUAUAGAUAUAUUAAGUAGUUUUUUGUGUAACCCGCUAUGGGAUUGUAGUGCCCACUAUGGCACCCCGUACACACUUUCCGCUAUGAGAACUCUCAAACGUUAUGUGCCCGCUAUCUGCUAUUUAUAACCUUCGUUUUAAACACAGAGUUUGUUUUAUUCUAUAGCAAUGGUUAAUUCAAUGGGAAAAAAAAAAUCAAAGCUCCUUUUUAUUGCGCCUCUCAUCUCAAGCGAACUCUAAUGCAUUAUACAUUAUAUCAUGUACUCUGUUCAUAAGCAUUAAACGUUCAAUAAUUAGUCAGUACUUGUCUGGCAGGUGCUGUAGCUUUUAUCCGAAGCGUUUCAAUCGAAGCUGUUGGACUAGGAGUGCACUUGGCGGCUGGUGCCCAUGAGAUAUUGCUCAAAACAGAAUGCAUCCUCACAACUAUUCCACCGCAUCUUCCCUCAUCUCACCUAAGCAGAAGAAAAGCAAACAUAAGAUCUAAUCAGCCGGAAGACACACAACAAGGGAUCCAACAAGUACAAAUUCUUACCUCAUAUUACUGUUACUUUAUCGGCAUUAGUCAAAACCUCCUAUAUAAAUAGUUGCCUUACCUUCACAACUUUGGAAACAGCUGUUGCUAACCGAACUCACACUUGUUUAAAUAGCAGGCUUAUGAGAGUUUAAGCGAUGGCCUUGGUAGGAGUGCCUCGGCUCUUUUUGGUACUCCUCUGAAGGUCUACCAGCGCGGAGCAGGUGCGAGGUCAGCUCUAGCUUCUGCUUUCCGAGCAGCUCCUGCUGCUGCGAUAGCUCCCGUCUCUGCUUCUGCUCGUGCCGUUCACUGUGCACUUCUUGGACUGCGAAACAGGUAUAUUUAUUUCUUCAUUUAGUUAAUAAAAAAUGUUUGUGUAAUUUAAAUUACUAUACACCUUUUGAGAGGACGUUUUAAGGAUAUAUUUGAUGCGUUGAAUCAAAUCCGUAAGGCAGAAUGUUGUAUCUUGUUUCAUUGUCAGGUAGUCCUUGAAAUUGAAAUCUACAAUUACAUAUACUUUACUAAUUCAUGCUUGGGACUGCAGCUUAGAUCCUGAACACAAAAAGGAGUCCAUGGACAAAUAUUUGGGACCUUCACGAUCAUAGGAUUGUGAAGAAAAGGUGAGGGCCUGGCCUUAUUUUUCAUUCAUUUAUCUGGUAUUGAAUAUUAAUGUUAGCAUAUCAUGCAAUUAUAACUCUUUUGCAGGGCAGGUUAGUCGGAAAAGAUAGAUUGACACGAUUUCAGCAAAAUGCUGAUUUGUACAGGGUAAGCCAGUCAUCUCUCUCUCUCUCUCUCUCACUCUGUGCACGCUCGCUUUGCGAUCCAUGUUCACAUAUUAAUUCUUCGUUGUGAAUGGUGCAGGUGUAUAGUUAUUCAAUCAGAUUCUUUGUGGGACAGUAUAGGAUGGCAACCUUUGUACAUAUGUAAAUUACCAUAAUAUUUCUGCGACCGUCUGCUAUGCCAUUGUAAUAUACCAGCAAUCAUUUUGGAUUUAUAGUUUAGCUGUUGCUUACUUCCCUUGGUGAAAUUUUUUGUCGACCUCACUGGCGAAAAUAGUUUAGCUUGAGGAAACAUGGUUUUCAUGUAUAUAGCUAAUUCUUUCAGAAGUUUUAUGAUUGCAUAUUUGCUUCUCGGUUGCUGCGGCAGUGUAAUUGUAAAUUACCAUAUUUGUUUAUUUUUUGAGAAACUCAGAAAGAACUAUCUAUCUACCAUUAUGGAUAGUUCUUUUGAGAAAAAUGCAGUAUACUAUUCGUUUUGUUUAUUUUUUCUAAAAAAAAUAAAUUUAGUUAAAAAUAUGAAAUAAUUAAAUUUUAAAUUUGAGAUAUUGCGUACUAAUCAUUCAAUUUUUUUAUCGUCUUAGCGUGUCGGUUACCGUUAUAAAAAGUUAAAACUAGAAGCUUGUUAACCAAAAGUAAAAAACAAAAAGAAGGAUAUUGCCGUAGGUCAAUGCGCCCAAGUGUACUCCUGUAGACAAAGAAAACCUAUCUAGCGCACUCUAAUUAAAAAUAAAAAAUAAUAAUAAUUUUAUCUGUCUACCUGUCUAAACACCACCGAUCCACGUAGCUCUCUCUCUCUCUCUCUCUCUCUCUAUAUAUAUAUAUAUAGAGUUGAUCUAGAAUACUUUUACAAGUAUUAUCUCCAUGUUGCUAUCACGUUUUUAGCCAUUGGAUUUACUUUUUGAUUACAAAUAGCCCUUGAAUCAAACACUAUUCCACCUACCACCACCUACCACCAGCUACCACCAUCAUCUCAACCUCACAUCUCUCCAUCCAAGAACUAAAAACACCAAAGUGAUCUCUCUAUCUAAGGACUAAAAACACACAAAUAUCACUUGGGUGAUACUUGUAAAAGUAUUCUAGCCCUAUAUAUAUAUAUAUAUAUAUAUAUAUAUAUAUAUAUAUAUAUAUCCGUAACCCACGUACGUACGGCCGUGUCGGCCAGAAUGUCGUCGGGGGUGCCGAUUACCGGGCCGGCUCGGGAUCACGGCCGGUCGAAACACCGACGUGCCAAAAAAAGGCCGGCACGUGUUCAGAACGAUCAAAUUUGAAAAGAUUCUCUUAUAAAAAUAGAAAAGGUCUAAAAAACACACAAGCCAGGGGAGUAGGGAAACAAAGCUUCGUUUUGGCUUUCCCCAACCCCGUCCGUACAGCAAACACGUUGCUCCCCGAAACCAAGCGGAGCCUCCGCCAUACCUCCGUUUCCUCAACCGCUCUCGGUUUCGCUGUACCCGCGGGAUUCCUCGUUUUCUGUCUCAUCGUCUCAUCUCAUAUAUAUUUUGCUUCUUCGAAUUCUGUUACUUUUUUUUUUUUAUAAUUUUUUUGUGAUAUUUAUUUGUUUUUCCAUGAAAAUUAGAAACUGUACACCUGUCUCUAUAAAUCUAAUCUAUAAAACUAUCGUAAAUACCCUCACUCUAGGUGUUAGUUUUACUUAAUUAGAGAAUGGUUUAAUAUGAUGAGUUAAUUAACUUGCUAAUCGACAACAUUACCCUCUAAUUAGCACAGUCCGUCUCAAACUAUAGUAAAAGAGUACGUAGGAGGCUAUCUUGGGCAGUCACCAAAUCCAUUGUCCCAACUCCCCACUUUCCUGAUUCUUGCACCAUUUUUCAUUUUAUUUCUUCUGCCAAUUUUUACAUACUAUAUAUCCUAACAUGCUCUCUAUGUGAUUGGUGCUGUGUGCUUCUUAACCACACUUGCUAUUUGGAGCUUCUAUUCGACCGGAUUCUUCCUCAUCGACGACGAUGACGACGGCGACAAUGCACUACUCCUUUGCAAGCUUUUUGGUGUCGCCCUUUAUUAGCUAAUUUUUCUUGUUGAGCAUAUUAUUUAUUUGUGAGAAAAAUAUUUGUUUGUGAGCAAAUUAUAUAUAUAAUCAUAUGUGUUUAGAAGUUUUUUCUUUUAAAAUUCUUUUUUCUCAACCAGCGGAAAGAAAGAGGGAGAUGAAAGGGCUUUUUUGCAAAUAGUCUAUUGACAAUUUUUUUUUUUUUUAAAUUAGUCCUGUCAAAAAUUUAUUUGCAAAAAUGAUCCUGACUUUGCCACGCAAGCGCUAUGUGGACGGGACUGGGGCCAGAUAUUUAAGUUGAAUACGGUGAACCAUUCACCGUGUUCAAACACGGUAAAUGAUUCGCCGUGUCCAAUGCGUAUAUCCGGACCUUAGCUAUUUUUUGGCUAAGUCCCAGGUAUUUAUAUUGGACACGGUAAAUGAUUCACCGUGUCCAAUAAAAAUAUCUCGGACUUGGCAAAGUUUAGGUAUUUAUAUUGGACACGGUGAAUGAUUUACCGUGUCCAAUAUAAAAAUCCGGAUUUAGCCAUUUUAGACAUGGCGAAUCAUUCACCGUGUUUGAACACGGUGAAUGGUUCACCGUAUUCAAUUUAAACACCUGGUUCAGUCCCGCCCGUGUGGCGCUUGCGUGGCAGGGUUAGGAUUAUUUUUGCAAAUAAAUUUUUAAUAGGAUGAAUUUUAAAAGUGGGCUAUUUGUAAAAAAAGUCCGAAAUGAAAUGUUUCUCUUUGAAGCAGUACUUCUCUUGCUAAUUCUAACUUACCGGUCAAUUUUCAUUAGAUUCUCAGCCGGGACUGCCAUUAACGUACUGUUUACUCAAGUCACAAGACCGUUUAGCCAGGAGAACGACUAAUGUUUUAUAUUUCUUUUUUAAAUUAUUUUUUUAUUUUAGGAUAUUUUUUCUCGCUUAAAUUUACUUUAUUAUCAUAAAAGGGUAAAAUAAAAAUUUUCGGUGAUCAUUUUUUUUUACGCCAGUUAUAAUAAAAGGCGUUUAAAGUUUUAUAAGAAUAUCGAUGAAAUUAAAUUGGUCACUAAUAAAAUGUCUAACAAAUUGUCCCUUUUUGUUAAAAUAAAAAAAACCUUAUAAAUUUACAACAGGCCAACGUUAACACAUUAUAAAAGUAAAAUAAAAUAAAAAAUAAAAAAUUAAGAUUAAAAAGAGCGGCAUUGUAACGGACAAUAAAUAUAAUUCCGCAGGGACAACAUAACGGCGUAACGCUGUUCCCCCGUUUCCGUCCCACCCACUUUCGACUUUUCCCUUCUUUCCGACCUCUCUGCGCCCAAAAUUAUUAUUAUUAUUAUACUAAUUUAAAAUUUAAAAUUACGGAGGGGCGACGUGGACGGAGAUGAGCCGCUCCUCCUCGUCCUCUUUUUUUUUUUCUUUUUUUUUUUUUAAAAAAAAUUCACCUCCUCGGUUUCACUCCACGAUAUCUAGGUUUUCACCUCGUCUCCUCUCCUCCAUAAUAAUAUCUCUCGCUUUUUUGUUCACAUUUCUCCGUUAAUCGUGAGUUCAUUUUCUCGCAUUUAUCUUUUUCGUUUUCGACCCACGGAUCAGAUCCAGAUCCGUGCUUUGUUUGUUGUUUCCCUCCUCCUCCCUCUCGAUCCUGCUCCAAAAAAUGUCGUAUAAUUAUAAGUUUUUACCAAAACGACGGGGAGAGGUCACGUACAUGAGCUCUUGUUUUCUCUGUAUAAAUGUUGGUGAGAUGAGGUGAUCAUUUUUUAUUGUUGUGGGUUUUGAUGUGAUGCUCUUCUGUGGUUUUCUUCGAGAAAUGGAGAAGCGGGUGGUUAGGGUUUGGGUUAGGGUUCUUGAAGUGGAGCCGCGACUCGGAAGGGAGUCUCGGGUAAGAAGAUCGUCUUGCAAGAAUUUGGUUUAGAGAGUGUCGAUUAUCAUUUUAAUUAUUAUUUGAUCAGUCUAAAUCAUCAUUUUGAUAGUUUCUUUGAGCUUAAAUUUGUUUUUAUGCGGAUUUGCUUUGAAUUAUCCUGAGAAGUUUAAUCUCCACAUAUUUCCUGUGCUCAUAGUGUUUUUCAAAAGCGGAUCGUUGUUAUGGGAUUUGAACUGUAUGAAUUGGUAGCAUGCGUGUUGAAGCUUCUGAGAAUCGCUUGAUUGCGAGGAUCGAAUUCGCCAUCGGAAACUUUACUCCAUUAUGCGAGUUUUAACACGUGGUGGUUGCUAUUUUUAGGGCUCUUGGUGGAGAUCUUUCAAGAAGUGCUCAUUUUAUAGUUACUAUAAUAUAUUUUAGGAAUAGGACUUCACAUUGGUACCAAAUUCUUUGAUUCUAAGGAGAAUUUUGCUGACCUUGUUCCAGUUUCUGUAGUUCUAUGUGUAUCUGCUUUGAAGGAGUAUGUUCUACCAAUACUCGUUCACUGAAUAUGGAUGAUACUUGUAACAUAGGAAAUUCUAGUUAGCUCAUUUGUUUGUAUAUUGGUAUUUUUAGUUCUUUACUUCUUGCAUAAAGUAUGUCUGUUGAUCCACGGAUGCUCAUAUGACAUGCAAAAUUGAUACAUCGCAGAUAAUUGAUAAGGGGGAUUUUUUAGAAAUAAGGAUUUAGUUAUACAUGUGUGCACAUACAUGCUCACAUAUACAGGUAAGUGUGGAAUGGAUAGAGAGAGUGAUAGAGAUACAAACAUACAAAUUGCUCGCACACACACAUUUGUGACUUCACACGAUCUCAAAAGGCAUGUAGGGGAGAAGAAAACUUGUCAAUGUAUUCUUCUGUUUUAUUUAGUUGAGAAGUUUUCGCAAAAAUGAAAUGUAAUGUUCUACUUAAGAAUGAGGCUGCUACUCAUUUAGCUUGAAUGGUUUUUCUUUUCUUUUAAGAUCUAUUUAUUUUUGUAUUGCUCUAAAGUGUGGACCAGUUACCUAUUUACAGUCACAAUUUCAGAUUAAAUUGCUAGAUUCGUUUUACAGUAACUUAAAAUAUAGAUUAUGGUCACAUGUUCAAAUUAUGUCGCCGUAGGGUAGUUUGAGAUUUGAAGAAAGUCUUAGCGUCUGUUUUAUUUGGUCAUAAGUGGUUUUCGGGUUGAAAAUGACUUUUAGCUGAACUGAAGUUCAUGUGAAAUUUUUUUGCCAUCGCUGUUUGUUUGACAGGAAAUCAAUGGCUUUUGAUUUGUAAUUAAUCUAUUUUUUAAAUUUAUUUUACUGAAAAUUUUCACCCUAGUACAUACGAGAAUUGAAAAAAAAAGUUAGAGCAGUUGAUUUUUUAUGAAUUUUUUCUCUCUCUUUCUCUCUUGUAAUUGACUUUGGCACCACUCCGGGAGAAGUUGAGUAUGGCGUUUGGGAAAAUGGAGUUGCAGGCGAAUUUAAUUUACAGCGAGCCAUACAAUGAAAGUGCACAUUUACGGCCAAAAACAACUUCACCUCUUUCCACUUUUAGUGAAACAAACAUGCCCUUUAUGAAUGUUAUUAAACUACAUUUGUUUAAAUUUUAGUAUUGUUAAAUUUGACUUGUUGAAUAUUAUUGCGAGUGCAAGUCCAUCAUAUAAUUUUGAGAACAACGUAGCACUAGGAACAACUAAUAUGGAUUAUAGUUAUCAAACAGCACAGAAAUCCCUUGCUGACAAACCUUCAAACAACCUAAUCAAUAACCCAAGUGACUAGGCGGUUCCCUAGGCAAUAAUAUGCAGAUAUUGUAUUUCAGUUAUUCCAAUGAAAAUAGAAAAGCUGAUUACAUAGAUGUGCAUAUAGAAUUAAAUCUUAUAUUGUUUGUUGCUAUUGAAUCAUCAGCCUUAUGUCAACACAGAAUUCAUUCUGUUCGAAACUAGUUAUAGUUCCAAUAGCUAUAUAUAUUUUUAUUUACUUUAAUCAAGUGUGCGUAUUUUUGGAGCUGACCUGCAUAUAACAUGCCUUCAACUUGCAUUCGAAGUGCCUUUAAACAGUAUGUUCCUACUCAUGAUCAUGAAUUCUCGAAGUUCUAUUUCCCUGUUGUAGUUUACCAGUAAACAUUGUCUAUUUUUGCCAAUUUAGAUUCCAGGAAGUAUUAAUGACUUGCUAUAUUUGGCCGAAAGAAAAUUCUUAUGUUUCAUUUCAAUAAAUAUCACUCUCAAUUGAUGCACACACUUGUUGGUCCUAUUUUAUUAUCUUCUCUCUUUAUUCGAGCUGAAUUUUUUAUUGUUUUGUCUAGUUGUUGCACGUGGUGGCAGAAAGCUCGAGGCGACAACUGCAUAUCAUGCAAGAGGUUUGUAUAUAAAUUCUAUCUAGCCUCAAAUUGAUCAGAUAUCAUGCUGCACUCACUAUACAUUGGUUUUUCACCGAAAGUUGUCUCAUGAUUUAUAUGUUAGUGAUAUUCGAUGUGAAAGUAACCUUGGAAAAUAGUAUGUUUACCUAGCGAGGCUGCACUUACAGGCCCAGGUAUUAUAAUAGGUUAUGAAGGUCCAUGAAAUUGUAUGGAGGGGACACAAAAGGCUUGCAAUAUAGAGCCCAUAUUGGUUGCUCAUUUCUUUCAAAAUGAUACUUAUGAUGAAUCUUUCACUUGUUGGGUUGAUGUAAAGGUCAUAUGAAAUAUAGAAUAGCCGCAUUUACUACUUUAAAUGAUGUGCAAGUAACAAUUGACCAUUCAACUGGAUUGCCUGAUCUGAAUUUAUUUGUUAUUCAAGUUUUAUGGUCUGAGUAAUCCAGAUGAUUGAGUUUACUCCUUAUAAUCUGAUUUGUUAAUUACUAAACCAGCUGUUUGCUUGCAUACUAAUUACUUUAUGCUAUUUUAAAAAAUACAAUAUAAACACCAUUCUUUUAGUUCUGUUGGUACACAACUCUUCAUUAUAUGCUUCUAAUAGUGUAUGUUGCCCUAAAGGGUGUUGAUGUGUUGACAUACCUAUGUGGCACUCUUGCAAUAUAUGCCUGAACCAAUAAAAAGCCUCCACAUCGUGGCUGCCACCACAUCAACAACAUAUAAGAGCAACGUGUAGGUUACCUGUAGUAGUGCUUCUAGAGACAUCUUUCUACGGGAAAUCCCUGUCCUGCUUAUCUCAAAUUUGUUGUUGUAUGUAGAAUCAACUUGAUGUGGGGUUCUUUAUUAUCCAUCCAGUACUUUGUCUGCAAGUGCUAUAAUAUUCGGUCGGUAUAUUUUAUUCUUCGUUGGCCUGAGGGAAAACUGCCCGGCCUUCUGACCAGGUAGGUCUGACAGCAUGGUUCACCAGGCUGGGCUCGGUCUUAAAAAUUGAGGCCCAGGAAAUUAUGAGCUGUGUUUGGGUUUCUGAUACUUAUGGUUGACAUGCCGGGCUUGGUAAUUUUGGAGUUGGCCCAGGCUUAAACUACCUAUAUAAGUACUAGAUUGGAUGGGUUCAGAUCACCCAAAUUUAAAAUGGCCAAAAGCUUUCCCUGACCCAGACUUUGCUCUGGCCUAUUUCUUCCUGAUACUAGAGCAACUUGCACCAGAUGUGUUUUUGUGGAACUUGCCAUUAUCAUUUUAUAUAAUCUUUAGAAAUACAAGGCAAGUGCAUCUGAAAUGCUGAAUUUUCGUCUGGAACUCUUACUUUUGGAUGACAGAAAGUGCUACUUGCAAAAAUUUUUGGAUGCUAUAUUUGCUCAGCAUGGUGUAUUUUUUUGUAACUUUUACUGCACCGGUAAAUUGCAUCUCUUCUGUCAUGGAAAAUAAAAUGCUCUUCGUUUGUGCUCCCAACAGUGGAGACUAAAUAAUUAGUUUUUGUGGUUCAUUAUGUGCUGUGUGUUGUUGUUGUUUUUAAUUGUGCUUCCGCGUUGUUUAUCUAUAUUAUUAUUCAGAUGUUUGAUAGAAUAUCAUGUGCUUCACAGCUGCUGAAUUAGUUCCCCUGAUAGUGGUCUUCUUAAACUCAUUUGUGUUUCCAGUAGAUGAUGAGUAAUAGUUUUUACAGAAGUUGAUUUUGUCCUCUUUGCUUUUAUUUGCCUUUCCAUUUGAUCAUCAACUUCCUAUUUAUACUGAUGAUUGAAUACUUAUAUCCUGUAGAAUUGCAAAUCCAAAGUAACAUGUUGAUCACAAAGUUCUUAACUGAAAUGCCUGAACAAGAAAAUCUGACAUUAAUUCUUAAUAACUUUACAGACCAAUUUGAUCCUCAUGUUCCCCCGCAUAUAUAAGAUUUUGUGGGGCACUGAAUUUGCCUGUAAGUAUCCAGAAAAUAUUUCGACUUGUAACACAUUAUUGCAUUUUUUAAGAUAACAUCAGUUGAAGAUCAUGUGUUGCCAACCUUGAGUCAUGGGCCUUCAUUAAGCAGUUGAAGUCUGCUGCAUAUUGAGUUGAAGAAUUUGUGCUUAGGUUUGUAAAUAGAAAUAUUCAUCUUGUAAGUUUUGAAUAAAGAUUACCGUAGAUUUGGAGCUCCAGAUUGCACCCCGUCUGCUUGUUGCUGUGGUUGGCUUAAUUCUAGAUAUAAAGGAGCAUUUGUAUAGUCUGUCAUAUGAAAAGUAUAUGAAACAACAGUGCCUCUAUUGUCAUCAUUCUCCCCGCUUGUUUCGUGAACCUGAGAAGUAAUUCAUGCUUAGUUUUUGAUGGGUUGAAAUAUUCUGUUUGUGAAUUUCUUUCUUGUAUUUUGCUAUCUGUUUUCGCUGUAAUUCGAUACCUUCCUGUGUAAUUCCAUGUUUUCUUGACACAUGAUGUUUACUUCCUUAUAUAGUUCCAUGUUUUCUUGAUGAAUAAGACUUCCCUGCAAAUAGAACUAGUGACAAAUUAAGCAGCCGAGAUGUGUGACAAUAGAUAUAAAGUAAGGAAUGGUUGCUAAAUAUGUCCAGGAACCUUGCGGUUUAGCUCUUGAAUUUGGUUUGCCAAAAUUUGGUCCUGCAAAGUGAAAAAUAAUGGCAUCAAGAAUUUAGAAAACAUAUAGAACAACUUGAAAUCAUUGAGUCAAGAAGAGUUAAAGUUGACCUUCUGCACACGUACACCUCGCAGACUCAUUUCUAGCUGGUUUUCCAGAACUUGUAGAUCCUUCACACCUAGGCCAGAAAGUUCUUCUCCUAGCAACUGUCUGCAAUAUUUACAACUAGUCCUCAAAGUGCACAUCGAGCUCUUUUGGUAAUUCAUCAAUAUAGCCACUAAAUGCUUUGUAGGUUGCAGCGAUUGUUAGUUCUGUUCUUACUAUAUUUUCCAUUUUUAAAAUUUCGCAUAAACAACUAUUAAAGUUGAUCUCUGUUUAGAAAUGUGCUUUGUGAUGUACUUCUGCUAAAAGGUUGAGUUGCAUUUAUUGCCCUCAUUUUCUCUUUUGUCUGCUUUCUUUUGUUAAGAAAGGGAAGUGUUGGUAUGACGGCUAUGUUCGCUAGUUGCUUAGAACAUUAAAUAGCUAAACCAUCCUAUACUUCUGAUGCCAUAUGGACUACUACUAAACUGCUGCUGUUAUGUUCUAUUGUGACUUUCACGCUCAUUGCGUGUAUUUUUCUGUUCAUUUCACUCUUGUCUUUGUGCUUUAAAAUUGUGUUCUGUAGGUGAACACUGUUAGUGGGUUUGUUCAAUACAAAUAAUCUUAAGUAGGAUCUCAACUGAUAUAGUUGGUUGCAUCUGUAUAGUGCAUCACUUAUCCUGCAUGUGUGUGUUGUGGUCUAGAUGAGAUUAUAUGUUACUACUAAUUUGUUGGAAUGUUGACAUCAGAAGAUGUGAUUUUUUUUUUUGCCUUUGUAAUCCAAAAAAGGAAACUUUGAAGAAAUUUGACUACAAAAAUAAGACUACUAUCUUUGAGACCCGUGUUCCAUAUUCAGUACAUAUUUUGAUUGUGUGGAUUUUACAAGAGAAAACUCAUCGUGAGUUCCUUGUAGGGUUGAGUGAGGAGCUUACCGAUGGCUCUCUUGCAAGUUGUGCAGUUGCUGCCUCAAGCUUCCUGCCUCCCCUCGCCAGAACUAGUGAGUAACAUUCCAAAGUUCAAUGCUUUUUAUUGUUUUACACUGCUGGAUGUUUGAUAAAACGACUCGAAUACAGUAAUUAGCUUGGGAGGAAAAAAAAAAAGAAACAAAAAUUAAACAAAAUGCAAUUUGAAAAAGGUGAUAUAUAUAAAUGCGUAACAAUAUGUCAAGUAUAUCACAGGAAUAACAAAUUAGCAGCAUAUGUAUCUUAUAAAAUUGCUCAAUAUCUGCUGUUGUUGUAGCUUUAAUGUCUGGUGGUGAAUAUUGUACUGCCUAGAAAACUUUUGUUGUUUGAUAUGUUUCGAAGGGACAAGCGUUAUGCCUGCCUUGGUGAAAAGAGAAUAAAUUAAUGUUGUACUCAUGGAUUAAUUUCCUCACUAUAAUUAGUUUUGGCUUGAGUAUAAUGUGUGAAAUCAUUUGUGUUAUUCACCAUCUGCUUGCAAGUCUUCUAUCCAUACUUGUGUUUUGGAGUCAUGGAUUGCUAUCUACUACUAGACAGCUGAUAUCAUUAUGAGUGUUUUUCCUGGUGGUAUGUUGAACCAUUUUUCUGUGGUAAAUUGUCAUUUACAUAUCAAACGAAGUGAUUUUAAGAAAUAUCUGCAGUUUUGCCACGUCAAAUCUACAUUCAAUGAUUCUGGGAACCUAAGCAUCCAUAGCAAUUAAAUGGUGGAUAGAGUUUAUUAAUUAUUUUUCAGCUUCGCUUAAGAAUUUGUUUGAGAGAUUAAUUUCAAUGUGUUUUCAAUAAAUAUGCUAGUGUAACAUCUUAAAUGAUUGAUUAAUUAAAUUGUGCUUGUCACUCUGUGAUGUUAACUGAUACUCUGGUUGUUGGCAGCUUAUUAGCUAUAUGAGUUCCAACAGUCUUAAUGUGCCCUUUCAAAUUUAAAUAAUGUGUCGCAUGGUUUGAAGUUUGGCUGUACCUUCGGAAACAAAACUGAAAUGUUUCGGUGUCAGGGAGUGCCCAUCCAAACUAGUGCGUCGAAACAUUUGGGUUUUGGUCAUAAUGAGUCCAAGUGAAAAGAAGGCUUGUAGCUAAAUAGAAAAGCACAUUCUAGCAAGGAAAAACCAAGUGACACUGGAUUUAGUACAAAGUUGAAUGAUAAGCUACUCCAGCUAGACACGUUACUAAUUCAGUGGAAAGCAAUCACAAGGUAACAUCCAUGCUUACACGGUCAACUUCUGUUCGCGAGGAGCUUUUUCAGUAAUGUGGUUUGGAGGCCUUUGUCAAUUGGAAUUUGUGUUUUUCUUUCUCUUUUGUUUUCUUGUUGAUACCUUUUAUUUUAAUGAUCACAUCGUGCUAUCCAACUCGUUGCAAAUAGACGAUCUUAUGUUGUGUGGCAGAAGGCACCCUGUUUUUAAUUGUUGACAGCCGGAAUGUUAUGGUCAGGUGAAAAUUCCUUAUGCUAUUUGUGGUGUUUCCUCUUUGUUAAGAAUACAAAGACUUGGUUUGUGCUGUGAUCCAUCGUUACAUGCUGCUGUGUAUGAGGAAAACCAGAAAACAAAUGAGAAUUUCGAAGUGGAAGUGGCAGGUGGAAAGAUCAGUGUUGUAUACUAAGAUGCAGAGAAUAAGUGUGAUAUAAGUUCCCAAACAGAGUUAAAAUAGUAACAGAAAGGUUGUAGAAGACCGACCGUCCCUAGAGCAAGUGACAAAGGAUUUGAUGGUUGGUAUCCGAGAUCUAAAUUUGAAUUUUAGUUGAUUCACAUUUCUAGCUAAGUUUAUUUCUAAAUGAAAUAAAUGAAGCGCUGUACCUAUCUCUUUCAAAAAAAAAAAGAAGACAGGUUGUAGAAGCAAAAUACAACGGUCGAUGGUUCAGAACUUUAAUUGUUGGAGCGGGAAGGUUGAUGAUCUACGAGCCUUGAAGAAUAAGCUACUAUUUGGAGCUAUUGCUGACCGGGGUGACAGUGGAAAAGCUUCCAGUACUUUUUCAAACAGCCUUACUUUGAAUGAUACAUACCCCUAUGUAAAAGCUGCUUUUGGGAGGGAGAUGACCAUAAUCCUUUUGUGGACUACAAAAUGAAGAUGUUAAUGAGUGGAUUGUUAAUGGAUGGAUUGUGUGUGUACGCUUCUGUGCAGGAUGGUGAUGAUGUUUGGGUGGGUAUUCUUAUUUAUUGAUUGAAUACUCGUUGCAGAGGAAUCCGGGGUAGUACAGCGACUAGGUUUUUUUUUGAGAUAAGUUACUAGUUGUACAUUGUACCCUUUUUCUUAUAUGUACUGUUUCCCUGCCAUGUUAGUUAAUUUUGUCUAGAUUUUAAGUUUAGUUUAAUUUUGACCUAUUGCUUAAUGAAUUUUUUUUAAGAUUGAAUUUUAAUAUCGUGUUAUAUCCUGUUUAAAGCAUAGCAGGCAUCUCAAACAGGACUAUUAAGUGAGGACUUUAGCUACCUGUAAAUCUUAAACUCUUAGCCGAUAGAGGCAUAAAUCUCGUCAACUGUAUUUUUAAUAAUAUGAAAAGUUAUAAAGAGUUUAUAGAUUUUGGAAUGAGAAGUGUGUGUGUGUGUGUGUAUAUAUAUAUAUAUAUAUAUAUAUAUAUAUAUAUAUAUAUAUAUAUAUAUAUAUAUAUAUAUAUAUAUAUAUAUAUAUAGAGUUGAGCUAGAAUAUUAUCGAUAGCAAACGAACUUCGUUGCCAUCCAUUUGUUCUCGAUGAUAAAGCUUGCAAAUCGACGAUCGGCACCGUUGAACAUGAUCUAUACCACUUGAAGUGUUUAGAAAUCAAUUUUCAAAUUUUUUCGACAUCGUUUGCCUAAUGAUCAAAGAGUUUCAAAAUUUGUAAUUUUAAUGGUCGAUAUGAGGCGUUUUUUCGUUUAACGGUGUAAAAAUAUCCAAAUCAAUUGAAUUUUCGUUAGAAAAUUUUUUAAAUUAUUUAAAAUAAGAUUUAUACUCUUGAUCUUGAUUAUAAUAGUAUAGUAGCCACGGCCUAUAUAUAUAUAGAGAGUUGAGCUAGCAUGCUAUCGAUAGCAAACGGGCUCCGUUGCCACCCAAGUGGUAACGGAGCCGAUCAUGUUCAACGGUGCCGAUCGUCGAUUCGGAGGCUCCAUCAUCGAAAACAAAUGGGUGGCAACGGAGCCGGUUUGCGAUCGAUAGUAUUCUAGCUCAACUCUCUCUCUCUCUCUCUCUCUCUCUCUCUCUCUCUCUAUAUAUAUAUAUAUAUAUAUAUAUAUAUAUACUAUUGGUAGUACGGAAGUUUUUUGGCUAUCAAGUUGUUUUUAAUGAUGCGGGUUUUAAAUUAACGAUCAACUUCGUUAGAUUUGAUCUACACUAUUGAAAAUAUUUGAAACGGUUGAAAAUAAAGGCUUGAAUUUAUUUAUCAAACGAGUAGUCUAAAAAUAAACGGUUGAAAAUAAAAAUCUCAUAAAAAAAAAUGAUAAAAGACUUGAAUUUAAGAUCAGAAGUAUUGAUUUUACUUUAAAUAGUGAAAAAAAAAUUUUGUAAAAAUUUUAUCAGAUUUGAAUUAUUUUACACCGUUAAAUUUACAAACGCAUCACAACUAUCAUUAAAAUUGUCAAUUUUGAGAUUUUUUGAUUACUAGCCAAAUGUUGCCGAAAAAUUAGUCGGAUCGUGAUUUAAUCUAUAAAGCGGUUUGGUUUAAUCCAUUGAACAAUUAGUCCAAAUCUAGAAUUAUUUAUUGCAAACUGCAGUCACACUGCAUCACAAAAAAACAACUCCAUAAUGAGCCGCCUAUGCGGCGGGAGGUUGCACUACAACUGAAAAGUCACGCGUUGAAUGGAGAAAGCUUAAUAGCCUCGCGUUGAAUGGAGAAAGCUUAAUAGCCUAGCUACAAAAUCUCCAAUUCUAGAAUUAUCUGUUACAAACUACGAUGGCAGGCAGCCAUAUGGCAUCACAAAAAGCAACUCCAUAAUGAGCCGCGUAUGUAGUGGGCUGCCGCACUUAGGGGUGUUAUGUGGGCCGUGCUGGCCCACAUUCACCCGGGCCAAACCGGGUCAGAGCUCAGCGCCGCUCGGCCCAAAUAAAAUUCAGGCCGUGCCGGGUCAGGCCAAAUUUUACUGAUGCUCGGCCUGCAGCGCCCUCAGGCCCAAAUGGCACGGGCGUGCCGGGCCGGGCCGGGCCAGGCUCCCUGCUAGCCCUUUUUAAUUUUUUUAAUACAUUUAAAAUGUUUAAAAAUUAUAGAAAUAAAAUGAUACUCUUUUACCUAAUAUAUUAGAUAAAAAAAAUUAUUAAAAUAUUUAUAAAGUAAUAUAUUUUUAAAAUAAUUUUAUAAAAUAUAUAGACUUUGAAUUUUUUUUUAAUUUUUUUUUUUUUAAAGACGUGAAAACUUUUUGAGCCUUCUCGGAAUAAGGGCCCUAGGCCCUACUUUUUCUUCCCCUUGGGAGUUGGGGAGCCAGGUUGGCUCCCCAAGUCCCAAGGUCUUGGGAAAUUGGGGUUGGGUGGCUCCCCAACUCCCCCAAUCUUCACUGCUGGCCCGGCAGGCACGGCCCAUCGUUCAGGGCCACACACUAAAUGUCUGCCCGGUACGGUCUAGGCCCGUAAAUGGCCGUACCAUACCGGGCUGACGNCCCAGCACGACCCAUAUUAUCGGAUCGGAUCGGGCCGGUCCGGUACGGACUCUACAGUAUCCGUGUCGAGCCUAGGCCGCCCGGCCCAUUUUUACAUCCCUAGCUGCACUACAGCUGAAAAGCCACACGUGAAUGGAGUAAUAAACUUAAUAGACUUGUCCACAUCAUAGAGAAAAUAUCUUGACUCUUGAGAUAGGCUAAAUCCAUUACUUAAUGAUAACCUCCGCUAACACAUCUUCUUUCCCAUAUUAUAAGAACUAUACUAUGAUUUUAUGCUCCAGUUAGGAUCCCUCACAAACCGUACUUAACUAAGGCAUGAUGGACACUGUUUGAAGUAAAACGUUUGAAAUACUUUGGCAGUUAUAUAUCAAUCAUAUUUAUGUACAAUGAAACAUAGGAGACAAGUUACUAUAUAAAUAAAUCAGUUGAUCAUUUCCAUGUUACUAUGAAUCUAAAACCCACAAGCAAAAAUUGAACAAGAUGCAUCAGCUGGUGAAUUCCACAAGACUGAUAUCUAUCGACAAAUAGAAAAUUCAGCAAUGAAAUUGUAUUUAGUCUUGGUCAUUCUAGUUGUAGGCAUCAGCUACUAAUCACCUCGUAAUAUGUAUUAUAUGAUUAAUUGAAAACAAUAAAUCAACAAAUUCCCGUAAAUUUAACUUCAAACACCAUAUAAAAUUUGCUAGGUAAGUAAAAAAUAUAUAUAGUGCAGUAUUAACUAGUAGCUGGAAGGAAAAGUCGAGAUUUCGUACCUUAACUUCUGAAAUCGCAUUCAUGACUAGACAGCUCUCCUCUUUUGUCUUGUGGUAUCUCUCUAUAACCGACUUCAAGCUGAAAAUGAAACAUACGUCAAUCUUGUUUCAAUAUAUGAAGUAACAGUUUCUUAUAGCCAAUUUUGAAAGUAGGAUCACAUAUUGGAACACAAAUGAUUAUUUUAGUGACAUACACUAAACGAACACAAGAGAAAGAAGAAGAACAACAGCUUAUCCAACAAGCAAUGUGUUCAAUAGAGUUAAGCGUCAAGAAUACUUUAAUAUAAACUACACCAAUGUACCUGAAAUGGGAAACACUGAGGUACACGGUAUGAUACAAAACUGUCGUACGUUAGUUUCUUAGGAACAAGUACCAGGUGUGUAAGAUUAGUAGGAAUGUUACUUCGAAAUGUGGUCAAUAAAUUACUUUUGUUACUGUAUAUAUAUAUAUAUAUAUAUAUAUAUUUUUUUUUUUUUCAUAUUAGCCAGAUUGGAUAUUCUCUCUUCUAAUCAAAUCCGGCUCUCUUCUUUCCUAUGUGCCUCUUUGAUAUUAUUUUAUCUAGUCAAACACCUUUCUUUUAGCAGAUAAUCUAAUAAAUUAGAUCUAGAAAUUAAAGUGCUUCUCCGCUAUCUUGGCUCGUCACGUUUUAUGAUCAGGAUCAAGAACCCAUCGCAAAUUUGUAGGCACGACAUGGAUCGCAGUUUGGAUGAACGUCUGUUGUCCCGGUAACUUUCAACUGCACCAUAUCUUAUAGAUUUUGCAUGUUCGAUUACUAAUAAUCAUGUUGCAUUAUUUUUCGCACAAAUACUAGGUGUACCACAGGCUAGCUCUUAUUGUUCAAAUUAAAUAUUUCCUAAUUGAGCCUCUUAUACCAGGUUUAUACUUCUCAUCAAGAAUUAAGUAAUUAAUCAUAUCUCUAAUCAACACCUGCACAAUCUUAAAUGACGAUGAUGCAGUGCGCGCCCCAUGACUCUUAAAAUUUCCACAUGAUGCACAAAGCGGAUAUGAUGCUAUUCGAUAUGUAAAAGGAUUGUAACUCACGAGCCCUCUUCUUCUAGAGAGAGACGGAGUGUGAGAGGGGAUCCUUAUACUAAUUAUGUUACUGGAGAUAUCUUUUCAUACAAACAUUCGAUCCCAGGAAUAAGGACGUCUCUUCUCGCCAUGCGAUUAAGAAGAGAUCUCUUUACGCCUUCCUCUGAUUUGAGGUGGCGGGGGCGAUAAAGCUUUUACGGAAUAAACCCUAAUCUUUUUUGAGACAGAUAGUAAACCCUAAUCUUGAAAACAACACCAUGGAAUCCACGGCCAUGCUCCAAAAACUUUGUCGAAUCUCAUCGAUCAAUUCAAAACUCUCGAUUCUUGUCUCCUCUCCUAAUAUGGUCUCCUUCAAUAGCAUCGAAUGAGAGAGAAGGGGAGAGAGAUGAGGAGGAAGAGGAGGAGAACCUGGAGCUAGCGAAGUCGUAGAGGCGACCGGUGCUGGAGAAGACGAUGAGGCCGACCUCGGCGUCGCAAAGGAUGGCGAGCUCCUUCGCCUUCUUCAACAACCCGUUCCGACGUUUCGAGAACGUCACCUGCCUACUCGCCGCGUCGUCGAUCCUCCGAAUCGCGAUCUUUCCCCUCCCCAUCCUCCCCCUUCUUUGCCACCCCGCACCACCUCAGAUCUCUUUCUCUUUACACACACAACCCUAAUAAUGGCGGCAUUGAAUCGUAAGGAGAAGAGCGAGAGAAUCAGAUUAGGGUUUAAAGGAUGAGGGGGAAAAAAAAGAGAGAGAGAGAGGGGAGAUUCAUACGUGGAGAGAAUGAGACUGGGUUGCCUCGUUUCUCCGAUCGAGCGCCGCUGCUCUGAGAAUCGGAUUAGGGUUUUAAAGAUCGAAGAAGCCCACAAGAUAAGAAAAAACGAAAAAAAAAAUAAAGAGGAGAAAUCAAAGAGAGGAGAGGAAAGGAGUGGAGAUUUUGAAACCCUGUAAUGCGAUCGCAGGAGAGAUUUGAGCUGAGCUGCGACUCAGUUACUCGCUUUCUCUCUCUCUUUCGCGAAUGGCCAUAUGUCUUUACCAGCGCCGCCGACCUAUAAAAAGCUGACGCGUGGCGCGACGGGGACAUGUUUCGGAGAUUCCGCUUUUCUUGGUCGUAGCGUUAACCCCCUCCGUUUCCAAUAAUGACCAAUUUAUCCCCAAAAAGUUAUGCACAACUAUUUUGCCUUUUUAAAAAAAUUUUAUGAAGAUUUAUUGUUAAAUAAAAAGAAUGUGUGUGUGUGUGUGUGUGUGUGUGUGUCUAUAUAUAUAUAUAUAUAUAUAUAUAUAUAUAUAUAUAUAUAUAUACACUAAUAAAUUAUUAAAUUAACAAUAUAUUUAUAAAAUAUAUCAUUUUGCUAUUAUUUUUUUGAAAGAAAAGUAACAUGUUAUUAGUUUCGUUCAUUUUUUAAAAUCUCGGAUAUCAAAUACUAAUUUUUAUGUCACUUGCAUUAGGAACAAUUAUUAUUUUGUUAUUAUUGUUGUAUACUAUUUUACUAUUAUUCAGUGCUAAAUUUAUUACAAAAUAAAAAAAUAAAAAUAUAGAGUUUCAAACUACAGUAGUUGGGUAAAUUCAAACUCUCCAGUGUUUCUCUAGGAUUCGGUAGUUGUCGUCCGGUCUCUGGACUUGCUUGAUGCAAGUUUUAAAAAAAAAGUGGGGUUUUUUUUUGUCUUUUCAAAAUAAGCUCAACUGGCCGACCGUUCCUAGAGCAAGUGGCAGAGGGCUUAGUGAUUGGUACCCGAGAUCCAAAUUCGAAUCCUAAUUGAUUCACAUUUCUAGCUAAGUUUAUUUCUAAAUGAAAUAAACGAAGGUGGUAGCGUGCUACCUAUCUCUCUCAAAAAAAAAAAAAAAAAAAAAAAACGCUCAACUGUAAAAGUAGUUCUGAGCUCCACUUAAAAUGAACUAUGAUUGAGAGAGUCUCCAGACUCUCCACACGCACUUCUACUAUUCUUUAACAAUUUACAAACAGACGAGUGCUUGUGAUGCAUAUAUUAUUUUAUCUUUCCUAUCAAUGUCAUCAAUCCAUAGUUCCAUAAGAAGAAUCCUCACCUUUGAUGAACUGUACGUAUGUAAUUAGCCACCUCAAAAGAAGAUGAUGUGACCAGUUUAGAGAUAAGCUAAAUAAUUCCAAACAACAUUAUCACUUGUUACCUUUCACACUCAUCAAGAUUCAAGAUUCUCGGAGAGAUGAAUAAAAUACAUUGGGUAGGUAUGCUUGUGGAGAGAAGCAUUAAUUUGCUUCCAAGUAAUCCCCGCGUCCAACAUCUGGGGAUAAGCUUUCUUAGUUAAAUAAGUGAAAUGGGAUGGUUACUUUGGCAUAUACCAUGCACGAAUCCUUUCUUAAUUUGGUGAGAGUAAAUUGAUCCACAUGUAAGCGUAGUAACCUUUGCUUUAUUAGCUUACUUUUUUUGGGCUUCGCCAUUUUCUUGGAUGCUUAUAAAAAUUAAAGCAUGAUCAGGAACAUGAGAGGAUGUCCUUUUCACUUGGCUUUUUAUGAAUUUUGUGCAACGAAGUAGUAAAAAAAAGAAGAAAGAGUUUCAGGAUGCAAUCAAAUUGCAACAAAUUGCAUUUAAUACUAUUGACAGUGUGCUUUGGUGAUGGAGCUUUGACAGAAGAUUCACAGUGAAAUCAACUUAUUCAGCACCGAGUGAUGGGGGGAUGAGGGUUGAUGCCCUUGCAAGCAAGAUCUGGAAUCUUCGAAUACCCCUAAGGGUGCGUUUGGUUCGCAUUAUGAAAGAUUACUAUGAAUAAAAAAUAUUCGAAAAUCUUAUUCCUAUUUAUCCUAUUACUAAAAAUAUAGAAUUCCUGUGUUUAGUUUGGACGAUAAUAUUAAUUAGCCAUAUUAUUUAAUAUUACAAAAAAUAUACAAUUUAUUUAUUUAUUUAUUUAUUUAAUUUUAGAUAAUAUUACCAAAAGUUUCAACAUAUUUUUAGAAAAAAGGAAGAGAGAGUAUAAGUUAGAGAGAGAGAACAUAAUUAAAAAAAAAGAAAGAAAAAUAUAGUCGAAAUUAGAGGGAGUCAGAGAGUUGAAAUUUUAGAAAGAGAGAGAAAGAGAAAGCUUAGUUUAGAGAGAGAAAAAAAGUUGAAUUUUAGAGAGAAAAAUAAGUUUAGAGAGAGAUAUAAGCUUAGAGUGUAAAGAAAAAUAAUAUCAAUUCGCUGGCGGGUAGGAAGAAAGAAAGAGAUUAGAUAUAUUUAUGAUUACCCCAAUCCAUUAAUAUGAGGAUACCCACCCUCUCUUAAGGGAAUGAGAUUAGUACUUUGGGGUGAAUCUUAUUCCCAAGUGAAUCCAAUAUUAUCAACUAGGUUACUUAGUGCGUUUAGCCAAACACCGUCAUAUUUUUUUAUUCCCAUUGGAUUACUAGGAAUCUUUAAAAGAUAGCGCGAACCAAACGCACCCUAAAAGUGAAAGCAUUUUAUUGGCCUGUUCUCAAGAAGAGGCCAUUUACAGUAGAUAACUUGAUAAAAAGAAGUUGGAUCAGAAACACAGUUUGUAUGUUGUGUGAGGUUGAAGAAGAAACAACGGACCACUUAUUUCCUCAUUGCGUUUUUACUAGAUACUUAGUGGUUAUGGCCUUGGAGGGUGUCCAAUUUAGGAAUUUGGGAGACGACAUGAAUUUGGUUUGGGAUAGAUGGAUGCCAAGAAACGGAUCGCAGACAAUGUGAACUAGGUUGACUGGACGAAUAGCCUGCCGGUGGGUGGGAGAACAAGAACGGUGCGAUCUUUAGAAAGGCUCAGUCAGAUCCCCUGCUAGCAGUCUAUAAAAUCAAGCAGUUGACGAACCUGUGGAAGCAACUUUUCUUAGCAAAAUAGCAUUACUGUAAAUUGCAGUAGUCCUUUUUUUUAUCGCCCGCCCUAUUCGAGGCCUACUAUUGUCCCACCUUGUAGCCUAAUUCAUUCUUUUAAUGAAUGAAGCGGGGAGCAUGCUAUUUUUUUCUUAAAAAAAAAAAAUUAUUGGCAAAGAGAUUUGUUGAACUAAAUCCUUAUUCAAGGACUAGCUUGAUCAGAUAUGAUAAGCCAAACAAGUAUAUAUUUGUAAUUGCAAGGGCAUGGACCACGACAGAGAGUUCAUAAAAGCAUAUUAUAAGGACUGGCAAAAGGAUGCAAUCUAUAUUGCAACUUUCUCCUUAAUUUCUGACUCCUUCCAAAGUUUCGAGUUACGUGUUGUUACUAUAUUGUACAAAAAAGAAAGAAAAAAUCAUCCUAGGAGAAAUUAGCAAGCUACUAAAACUAUGAAGCAAUUCGGCUAAAAAUUUAGGACAUCAGAUAUUAAUUAUUAAAUCUUUAGUCAAUUAUACAAAAUGCAAUCAAUUAAGGGAGUUAGGCUCAUUCGCUUUCGAAAGUAUUGAGACCUCCAUAUUUAUAAGUUAUUUUUAAUGAUGAGACAUCUAAUUCAACGAUCGGUUCGGUUAAACAUAAUAUACGCUAUUAUAAUAAUUUAAAAAUUAAAUUUUAUAAUUUUUUAUUUUCAUUUGUCUAGUGAACGAGUAGUUUCAAAAUGAACAGCUGAAAAUAAAAAUUUCAUAAAAAAUAGUGAUAACGGGCUCAAAAUUUGAAUCCGAAGUAUUGAUCUCAUUCUUAAUGUUAAGGAGAAUUUUUUUAUUAAAAUUUCAUGUAAUUUGAAUUAUUCUAUACUGUUUAACUUACAAACGUGUCGCAUCGGUCAUUAAAAUAGUUAUUUUUAAAAUUUUUUGAUCACUCUAUAAAUGAUGUCGAAAAAUUAUAAAAUUUUGUUAUAAAUAGUUUUAAUAACGUAAAUCAUGUUUAACGAAAUUGUUCGUUAAAUCGGAUAUGCUAUCAUAAAAAAUAACUUAUAAAUAUAAAAUUCCCCAUAUUUUCGAAAGUAUAGUUAAGGUCCUAGAAUUAGAAUAUUUUGUUCAUUGUAAAUCUAGCAUCUCUCUGCUGCCUUCUCAUCGGGCUUUGGAACCGUCACGAACGAUUUUUAAAGCAAUCAAAGGGAAACAGUUUGAAGUGGUUGACUCUGAUUGACCAAACACUUUUUGCAUCUUGGGAACUACGCCUAUGAUGUGUAUGGAUAAAUACAUGGUUUGGAAAAGUAGUGCAAUUAUGAUGUGUGCCAAUCAUCGCCGUAUUAUGGGGUCGGCACAGGUCAAGAUCAAGAAGCUUAAGUUGGGACUUGGGAGUGGGAUUCGAAAUCCGAUCGCCAACUAUGGAUUCAUGGUACAAUUGUGAAAAUAUUUUAGUUUUAUACUUCAAUAUAUGUCGACAUGUGCGGUUUGGGGAUUUCACGUCCUCAUACCAAGCUAUUGGAUUAUUGGAGGCUUUAAUUUGAGAGAUUUUUAGGGUUCACAAUAAAAAUUUAAUAUAUAUCAGUGGACUUAGAUUUAAUAAAUUUAAAUUUUUAGUUUGAAUAAAUUUUAUUAGAUAUAUUAUAUUUUUGAACUCAUGUGAGUUUGGACUGCAUCCAGAACUUAUUAACAAGAAAAUAAGAAGACAAUCGGCGAAAUCUCACUCUGUUCUAAUUAGGUAGGCCAAACUAGGCAGCCCAACUCCUGAAUAAAUCUAGAAAUAUAUACAUUUGCGCUUUGCUUUGUAAUGAAUAUAAAUUUUUCUCACCGUCCGUAUUUGAUCUGAUUCAAACUAUUAUUCCUGGUCUAAAGCCGAGGCCAAAUCUGCAGCCCAAUCCAUGAACAAGUUUACAUAUGCAUUUGUGGUUUGCAUCCUAUUCUGUAUUCAUUCUUCAAUAAUUCAAUAAUGUGCGAUCUUUAGAUUUACUAGUUAGCCAUGAGGAUAAGUUUUUUUUUUUAAAGAGAAAGAUAACACGCUAUCUGUUUCAUUUAAGAUUGUUAUUUAACAUUAGAUGCAAGCUUGUUUGGGUAUUGUAGUGAUAGCACUGAUCAAGCUCACCUAAUAAGUCAAUAUAUAAAACUUUUUGUUCCAUUAUUAAAAUCACUAUCCAUCGUAACAGCUAAAUAUUAUUAUUUCUAUUAUUAAAAUUAUUUUCUAUCUUAAUAAUUAUUUUUUAAAAUAAUGAUAGCAUGCUCUUCGUUUUAUAUAUUUUGUUAAAAAAAAUUAGCUAAAAAUAUGAAGCGACUAGUUUUCCAACUUGGCACCUUAAAUACCAAUAAUCAGACACUUUCUUAAUUGCAAAACAAACAGCCCGUACAUUCCAUCUUAGUAGUUUAAUGUUUCUACUUCAAACUUCAUACCAUUUUAAUACAGCAGUAACACUAUUGACGUCACUUCUCUAAUUUUGCCGAGAAAACGAUGGCACCGUUAAAGUCCUUUGAUGGUACGUAACCACGGGCUUGCAAGUAAUUAACACUGUUGUCUAAUCCGUAUAUUCACAGGAAUCUCAAGCUGCAAGUAAAGAGGGUCAAUGAUUUCAUGUACCGCAUAUUCAUUGGAAUCUCGUAUUAAGAGUUUGAAACGUAACGAAAAGUCUAAAUCAAAACUUUAAAAUGUUAAGCAAUUGUUUAGCAUGUAUUUAGUUUGGAAUUCAGGAUUAGAUUGGACCUCAUAAAAUUUGAAAUCUAACAUUGAAUUCGAAAAAUCGACUGUCCUUAGCGCAAGCGGUAAAAUUUGAAAUCUAAAAUUUUGUAGAAAUAUAUUUGAUGUUAUUGAAUGGGUAAGACUAAAAUUUUUUUUUUUUUAGAGAGAUAGAUAGUAUGCUGCCCGCUUUGUUUAUUUUAUUUAAUAGUAACUUAUUAAAAAUAUAAAUCAACUAGAAUUCGAACUCAAGAUCUCAGGUAUCAACUAUCAAAUUUUUUACCACUUACGCUAGGGACGGUCGGUUAUUAAGAUUUUUUUCUAGAUUGAUAGAUAACAUGCUACCUGUUUUGUUCAUUUUAUUUAGAAGUAACUUAGGUAAAAUUAUAAAUCAAUUAAAAUUAAAAUUCAAAAUCUUAGAUAUCAAACAUCAAAUUCUUUACAACUUACGCUAGGGAUAGUCAAUUACUAAGAUUUAUACUCAACCUGCUAUUUCCGGCUGUACAAGGUCGGAUUGCUCGUCUGCCGCCGGCGGGGGACCCUCGGUGGGUCCCUGGAAAUCUCUCCUGCGGUCUGUCUGUGGUUUUAGAAGGCCCAGCCAAAAGACCUCCCUCCUCGUCAGCCGCCUUUUUCUUUUUUCUUUUUUUUAUGUAUAUAUAUAUUUUCUCCUCCUAUUAAUUAAUUAAUUAAUUAAUAACGAAAUGGGGGAGGAGAAGACAAGGAAAGAAAGAGAUGGCGCGGGGGAUCGAAGAAGGUGAUAUGAGCCUCCGGCGGAGGCCGAUGACGGCGCACGCGCACGCGCUCGCCGCGCACGCCCUCCUCCUCUGCUUCUCCCUCCUCCUCGCUCUCAAACUCGACCGUCGAUUCUCCCACUCUUGGUGGUGCGUUCUCGUUUCUUCUUUUCUUUCAUGUUUUUUUUUUUUUUUUUUUCCUAGUGUUUUCUAGUUUUUUAAGUAAAUGAAUGAGAAAGAUUAAAAAGAAAAAAAAAAAGAACGAUGGAAAAGAUGUAACGCGACAACUACACGAAGUCGUAUUAUAUCCGACCCUGGAACAACACGAAGUCAUACAUUGAUGUUUCGUUGUCGCACUCGAUUGACAUUUAGAUGAAGGAUUCAGACUCGGAUUUUGUGUUCUUACUGAAUAAAAUUAGACUCCAAAGUUUCGGAUGCUUGAAUGUUACGCAUAAACACUAAACACUCGAUAUUACGCUAAUCCAAAGGGAUAAGGUUUGAUGAUAAAUUCCCGCAAUUUGGAAUCUGAAUAUAUAUGGAAGAGCAUUUGCAUUGGAAACUUUUAUUGUUCCUUUUUUUUUUUUUUUCUGUAAGUUGCUUCCCGAUCAUGCAGGAUUGUUUUCAUUCCCCUGUGGUUGUUCCACGCUGUUGUUUCUCGCAGUAGAUUCUCUUUACCUGCUCCGUUAUCGCCUCACAACCACCAUGUAAGUUUGGCGACUAUUGUAGUAGAUUAGGCUUUUGAUUUCUUAGUAGUCAUUUUAUAUCGAUGGUAAUAUUUAGAUUUAAUCACUCUUUUGCCGUGCAGUGGGCGCCUUGUCAUUCUAUUGUUGCUACACCAUUGCUUGUGGCAUUCGAGCUACUUCUGUGUGUUUAUCUUCAGAGCGUCGAUGGUAAAUGUCAAGAAUAUUUUGAAGUCUCUGUAAUUAUGUUUCGAUAUUGGACUUUCUAUAGUUAAUUCUUUAAUUACACUUCAUAUAUGCAGAUCAUGGAGAACCUGUUGUGAGCUUGAAACUUGUGUUUCUUCCACUGUUGGCAUUUGAAUUAACAAUUUUUAUUGAUAAUAUCAGGUAGUAUGUUUUUUGGGAGAUAAGAGUUAAAAUGUGCGCUUCAACGUGCACUUUGGUUAGCUAUUGUUCAUUGCCAUUGGGUACGUUCUGUUUUAACUUUAUUCUUUUACCAUCUAGGAUGUGUAGUGCUUUGAUGCCUGUAAAUGACGAAACUGCAAGUGACAGGGCUAUUUGGAAGAGACUUCCUGUAAGCUUGUUUCUUCCUUAUUUACUUUUUGUCUCAUUAUUAACAUUCUCUUGUUCGUGUUUAUUUAUGUUAAUUGCGACAUUGCUUUCCCUUGAUGCACGUUAUGUUACAGUAGUUAACUUUUUUCUCGAGAUUUUGAUGAUAUUGGAGCCCUUCCAGAUGCGGCGGUGGGGCGUCAUCUAAGUUUUAGCCCGUGCAUUCAUCCUUACAUCCACUUGCUGUUGUUUAUUGUGAGGUGAUACCAUGGCCAAUAGAUAGAACUCUGCUUGAAUAGUACCGUGCAAUGACUUAACAACUGCUCAAUGGAUAGCACUUUGCUUCAGAUUUUCUGGUGAUUGCAGAAUCGGAUUCUAGCAUUUCCCAGGACUUUGCCUUCGCAUUGGGGUCUUUCUUUCUUAUGUAUUAUCUUUUACUUAACGAAAUAUGUACCCUUCAACUGCAGACGAAAAAUAAUCAUUUUAGUUGGCAGGAGUCAACCCUCUCCCACUGAAUGGAUUUGGAGCAAAACUGUAGGAGAAGGCUUUUUUUUUUUUCUAUGGUUUCUCUUUGAAGUUUUUAUUGAUCCUCUAGUAUAGAAAUGUAAAGCAACAUUGCCUUCUUUGCUUGGAUAUCUCAGCAUUUUUUUUAAUUUUGUUAUGUUAUCUUUUUCUGUUAGUUUGCUUUACUGCUGAAUGAAAGUAUUAUGUAUGUUAAGAAGGAACAUUGAAAGCUACUAGAAAAUUGUGAUUUAUUAAUAAGGUCGCUAAACUUAUGCUGCAUGAAGCAUUAUCUAAGUUGUUAGUCAAACUAUCUUUUUACUCCUGAAAAAAAGUGCAACCAGAAAAUAUUCGUUCUACAGUACAUCAUGAAGGAAUUUUAAUGUGCAUAUACAAUCCUCUUUUAAUAAUUGUCUCUUGGGACUUAUAAAUUUCCAAUAAUUCUUUGUUAGCACUUCUGGGUUGCAAUCUCCAUGGUGUUUCUUGUAGCAGCUACCUUGUUCACACUCCUCAAGUUGAGCGGUAAACCUUGACCUCAAUCUAGUUUAUUAUUAUUAGUUUUCCUUUACUGUAGCAUUAAGAACUUCUUUCGGAACAACUCUGAUCUUUACCUUCUCAUAAAUAAAUCUUCUUUGUUCUUAUUAAAGUUCUUCUCAUAGUACUGAGUUUUGUAGUUAUCUGCUGGAGAUAACCGAGUGGAUAGUUCAAUAACUUAACUAUUUAAGUGAACAAGGAAAAAUCUUGAUGGUGCUCAUACUAUUGAAGGGAAAUUAUACAGAGACAUAAAUGACAUGAACAUUCUCUACGGUACAUGCUAACUUGUCUGUUUAUAAUUUGUACAACUUAUUUCAAUAUUUUAAAAUCUGUAGUAACUAUGUACUAGCCAACCUACUAGUAUUGGUUACUUCACAGUGCAAAUAUGGGCCUUAAAUGCUCAGACGCAAAUUUUCUACUGAUAUAACAUACUAUGUAAUCCUGAUUCUUUCGUACUAUUUUGCUGCUUAAUUAUUACCUAUAAAAUCUCAGAGGCUUAGGCACAAAGAGAUGGUUCCUGAUAUCUUGGACUCUGUGUAGUUGAUGACUGUGACUAUUUAUCUUAUAUAUUAAUUUCAUACAUCAAGAGCUAGCUUUUAGUUGCACUAGAACAACAUCACUUAUCUAGUAUGAACUGAGUUUACUAAUAAAAGUUUCUAAUAUGAUGCAGGAGAUAUAGGUGGCUUAAGCUGGUGGGAUUUAUUUAUAAAUUUUGGGUAAUAUUUCUUCUUUUUUUUAAAAAAAAAAAGGAAUCUUCUGUCGUUUUGAUCCUACUAAUUUUAUGUAACAAUAUUUUGGUACUUCUUUUCUAUGUUUUGACAGAAUUGCAGAAUGUUUUGCGUUUCUUGUCUGUACAAAGUGGUCUAACCCUCUGAUCGGUAGACAACCAUCUCAUUUUGCAACGACUUCAUUUACACUUCCCAGAUAUAGUAGGUGGUACUGUGGCUCAUCAUCUUCCUCUUUGGAGGAUUAUGAUGAGGAUAGAUUUUGUGGUCUGCAGGAUAUUGGAAGCUAUGUUAUGAAAGUUCCUCUUCUAAUUUUUCAGGUUCUCUUAUGUAUGCGCUUAGAGGUACGGGUGUUUUGGAAUACUUAUAUUUAAAUGUUUAUGCCCCAAAUGUAUGCAAGUAUUUAUUGUCUCAUCUACUGCUUUUUUCCUUUUCUUCAGCGGACACCUCCUGGUGCACAAUUCAUCCCAAUUUUUGCUCUUUAUUUGCCGAUAUUUCUUCUGCAAGUAACUGGUAUCUUUGUUGCUCUCUGGAGAUUACUUGAGAAGCUUGUUCUCUUAGUACGUAGUGGACCAAUCAACGAAAGAUAUGUUGCAAUCUCAUCAAAAAUUUAUGAUUUCUUUACAUUGGUGCAUCAUGGUUCAAGGUUGUAAUUUGAAUACAUCAUCAUAUACUGUUCGUGUACUCUCUAUUUAUACUUUCAAUUUUGAGAAUCAUCAUAAUAAUUCCCUUCCUUUUCUUUGGCACAAUUCAACAGACUUCUCAGUUGGUGGUCUAUUGAUGAAAGAAGUAAUGAGGAAAAAGCUCGCCUGUAUCAUGCUGGAACUACCGGGUACAGCACUUUCAGUGGCUUGUAUCGUCUCUUAGAAAUAGAAAAAAGACAAGUUAUCUCAAUUUCGUUUUUAUUGAUUGUGCAAUAUCAUCUAUAGAUACAAUACUUUCAGUGGCUAUGCACCAGAAAUGCUAAAGAAGAUGCCUAAGAAAGUUCUAAUAAAAGAGGUGCACUUCUACGACUAUUUUACUAAUUUGACCACAAAUCUCCAUAAUGUUCCUCAGCAUAUUGUCAACAUUAAUUGUCUGCGCCCCGUGAUGUAUUAUUCAUCGCAGUAUUUUUUUUUUUUACUCUGUGUUUUUUUUAAUGUUAGGUUUCAAGACUGCAAGUUGUUCUGGGAGAACAAACUGAAAUUGCCAAGAAUACCCAAGAAGAGUAUGAAAGACUUCAAAAUGUAAGAUACUUCUGGUUUAAUUACAAAAUUAUGACAAUAGAAUAGUUUGUACAGGGUGCAUUACAAAGUAUCUGAAGUCAUACGAUCCUAUUAGUGUUUAAUUGAAGCAUGUAGCACUAGUUGUUCUGCACUUUUCUAUUUCUGCCAAGUAACUUACAAUAUUUAAGUUAUCUAGGAUUACUAUCGCGUCAAAUUGGAGCCUAUUUUCUUCAUCCAGGGCCAUUUAGUUACAUCAUAUGUCAUCUAUUUUCCCAGAGUGAAGAUAAUUAGUCCCCAGUGGUGUUUCUAUCACACUGGACCUGCUUACCGGAAGCUGUAAAUUUAGCUAAUUACUUUCACGCAUAUACGGACUUCACCUCUUUUGAUAUCUCAUCACAAACUGUAAAUGGAUAUGUGCCUGCUCAUGCCAACCAGCACGGGUUGCACUGGCACAGCCAAUCAAAGUUGUUUUUCUAUUAAAUCAAGUAUGCGACAAUUUCUAUUGAAGCUAUCGAUUUUUUCUCACUUGCGAGUAUUUAUUUUUGUAUUCGUUCUCUUUUUGGUUGGUAACUGAGACGGAACACCGAAAAUAUCUAGCGUAAACCUUCUGUUUCAUGUUGUUAAUCAUCAUGCAGAAAUGGAACUUACAAAAUUCUGGUUGCAAUUAAACAGGAAAGAGUCUUGUGCAGGAUUUGCUUUGAGAAAGACGUACGCAUAGUCUUACUUCCUUGCCGGCAUUGUACUCUUUGCCAGUAAGCUUUCUUUAUUCAUAUACUUUUUAUCCAAUAUCCGACUGUUUCGAGAUAAAUUAGAGCAUCUCGACAUAGAUUUAAGCUUAUUUAUUAAAUAUACCUUGUCGUUUUCAGUGUUGUUACUUUUAAAUUGGAAGAUCUCUAACUCGAGCUUAUGUCUCGCUGAUAUAGACCCUGUUCAGCAAGGUGUCAGACGUGUCCAAUUUGCCGUGUGCCUAUUAUGAAGCGGAUAACUAUAAAUGAUCGAGAAAAGCUGAAUCAUGCAUCAGACCAAGAUCAUUAUGUGGAUUUGAAGAGUAUCAUGCAUGCGAAUUUUGUCUAAUUUGGCUUAUUGGGUUCUCUGUUUUUGGGAGGUAAAUAAUAUUGGCUGGCUGUGCUGAAGCCAUCAAGCUUUUUUUUUUUUUUUUUUUUUUUUUUUUCUCACAUUGUGGGUGUUACAGCUAUUUAUUUUGAUUUACUUCUAUUGUUUUGAUUUAUUUCUAUGUAUAUACAUAUGUAAGUUAGUGUUAUUCCCUCUUGUAAUGUGACAGCUAACAAAUUAAGUCUAAUCUUAGAUGUCACUGUAAGUGAUCUUUUCUUUUGACCUAUUAUAGUUAAUUAAUGAAUAAGAAUAUAGUUGGUGGGUAAGAAAUGUUGAUUCACUUGUAAAAAAUGCAUACAAUCAACGUUAACAACUUAUGGCCGGUAAAAAGCCCGUUCGGUGUUGAGGUGUAUGAGUGUAUUUAAUGCUAUUAUGCAAGACAGUUGGAAGCAAAAGUUUACAGAGAGUGAAACUAUAAAAAAUAUAUCAUAAUCAACUUAUUAGGAUACAUACAACAUGAUAUUAUGCAUGAAAAAUAAAUUAUAAAUGUAAUAUUCUUUUAUUAUAUUUUUUUAUUGGCCUUUUUGCAUAAAAAAUUCACUUAUUUUGGGCUUUUGCAAAAUCGGGUCAUCUUUUUCGUUUUUGCAGAUUCGGUCCGCUUUUUCAGCAAACUGACCAAAAUACCCUUAUUACUUUUUCUCUUUCCUCUUUCUCUCUCCUCUUCGUUUCUGUCGUUUUUUUUUUUCUCGCCGAAAAAAAAAGAGGCAGACCGGACCGUCGCCUUCUUCUUCACCGUCGCCUCCCUCCUCACCCUCCUUCUUCACUGUCGCCUCCCUCCUCACCCUCCUCUCCACCGCCCGCGACCCCCUCAUCCUUUCCCCCGCCGCCGCCGCCGAGCCCACCCCCACCGUCGUCUCUGUCGCCGUCGCCGAGCCAUGGCGGCGGCGGCGGCGGCAAAGGCGGAGGAGAGCGAGGGGGAGGGGAGGGGGUCGCGCGACUCCAUGGCCACCACCACGCUUUCCUUGAACGACACCGCCCCGCCGUCACCGUCGCCGUCACUAUUGGCGCUAUCGUCUUCAUCGUCUUCCGCCUUCUUCGGCGCCACGUCACCGAGUAUGGAGCCCGUGUCGGCGCCGGGGGGCUCAAAGAAGAGGCGGUCGACGUGCGCCGACCACUUGAUGCCGCGUAUCACGCUCUCUGACGACUCGCCGUCAUACUACUCGUCGUCGGACGGCGUCGUCGACAGGCUGGCCAUGUCCCGAUCGCUCCCCUCGUCCGACGAGUUGGUGAAGUGCGACUCCGGCGAGUCCGGCUGGUACGCCGAGUUGGCCGUCUUGUACAUGCAGCCCAACGACGGCGAGGCGGAGAAGAAGACGGCGAAGAAGAAGGCCUAAACUGGAUGCGGAGGCCGAGGCGGAGAAGAAGACGACGGCGAAGAAGAAGAAGGGGAGGCCGAGCGGCAUGGCGCAGGAGGGGGAGGCGGAGGCGCAGCCAGCGCCGGCGUCGGUGCCGCGCGUGUUCUUCUCCGUCGGUGCCGCCCCUCCUCCCGCCGCCGCGCAGAAGCCGGCGACCAGUGAAUGGUGUAAUGGUGCAAAUGGUGUAACAGUGUAAUGGUGCAAAUAGUAUAAUGGUGUAAUGGUGCAAAAUUGUAAUGGUGUAAUGGUGCAAAUGGUGUAAUGAUGUAAUGGUGCAAAAUGAUGUAAUGGUGUAAUAAUAUAAUGGUGCAAAUGGUGUAAUGGUGUAAUUGUGCAAAAUUGCAAUGGUGUAAUGGUGUAAUGGUGCAAAUAGUGUAAUGGUGUAAUAGUGCAAAUGGUGUAAUGGUGUAAUGGUGCAAAAUGGUGUAAUGGUGUAAUGAUGUAAUGGUCCCCACUCCUCGCCGGUGCCGGCUGCGCCUCCGCCUCUCCCUCAUGCGCCCUGCCGCUCGGCCUCCCUUUCUUCUUCUUCGCCGUCGUCUUCUUCUCCGCCUCGGCCUCCGCAUCCAGCCCGACCCCGUUUGCCGCGGCCGCUGCCGCUGCCGCUGCCGCGACGGGAUCGGGCUGGGGGUCCGCGGCGUCGGUGCCAGCUGUGCUUCCACCUCCCCCUCCUGCGCCCUGCCGCUCGGCCUCCCCUUCUUUUUCUUCGCCGUCGUCUUCUUCUCCGCAUCCAGCCCGACCCCGUUCACCGCGGCCGCUGCCGCCGCGGCGACGGGAUCGGGCUGGGGGUCCGCGGCGCCGGUGCUGGCUAUGCUUCCGCCUCCCCCUCUUGCGCCCUGCCGCUCGGCCUCCCCUUCUUUUUCUUCGCCGUCGUCUUCUUCUCCGCAUCUAGCCCGACCCAGUUCGCCGCGGCCGCUGCCGCCGCGGCGACGGGAUCGGGCUGGGGGUCCGCGGCGGCGGGGGAGAGGAGGAGGGGGUCGCGGGCGGUGGAGAGGAGGGUGAGGAGGGAGGCGACGGUGAAGAAGAAGGCGACGGUCCGCCUCUUUUUUUUUCGGCGAGAAUUUUUUUUUCGGCGAGAAAAAAAAAAAGAACGACAGAAACGAAGAGGAGAGAGAAAGAGGAAAGAGAAAAGUAAUAAGGGUAUUUUGGUCAGUUUGCUGAAAAAGCGGACCGAAUCUGUAAAAAUAAAAAAUGUGACCAGAUUUUGCAAAAAUCUAAAAUAAGUAAAUUUUUUAUGCGAAAAGGCCAAUGAUAAAUGCCAAAAUUGACUAACUGCUAGAUUAUAGUAGAAAUUUAACGAAUCGCCAGGGCCGCUUGUCUUGGAGGGCUGUUGGAUACCAUGUGGGGUCCUCCAAUCCUAGAAUCUCUGCAAAUUCCCUUAAGUCUAUUCAGCUCACUAAAUCGACCGUGUGGUUAUCACUGCUCUUUCCAAUGUCUCCUUAUUAUCAACUUCAAUUGCCNCGUCUUCUUCUCCGCAUCCAGCCCGACCCCGUUCACCGCGGCCGCUACCGCCGCGGCGACGGGAUCGGGCUGGGGGUCCGGGACGGCAGGGGAGAGGAGGAGGGGGUCGCGGGCGGUGGAGAGGAGGGUGAGGAGGGAGGCAACGGUGAAGAAGAAGGCGACGGUCCACCUCUUUUUUUUUCGGCGAGAAAAAAAAAAAAGAACACAGAAACGAAGAGGAGAGAGAAAGAGGAAAGAGAAAAAAUAAUAAGGGUAUUUUGGUCAGUUUGUUGAAAAAGCGGACCGAAUCUGUAAAAACGAAAAAGGUGAUCCGAUUUUGCAAAAGCCCAAAAUAAGUGGAUUUUUUAUGCAAAAAGGCCUUUUUUAUUUAUAACACACUCUUUUUGAAAUUCCAAAUGAGCUUUCAGAAAUGCAGUGUAAGUAUGAAUUUUCUGGUACGUUGCUUUGUGAUCAGAUAAUCUGUGCUGAUGAUAAUUUAAGCUAGAUAUCAGUCAAAUUAUAAUUUUACACAAAAGUGGGUCGUACCUAAAUAUCUAGCUUGGAUAAAGAUAAAAAUAUGUUUUACAGCAGAGAAAAACACAAUGUGCAGAUUUAGACUUGAUGUGAAGGGUGAUGGCUAAUUUAUGUUACGCUCAAUUUACGCAAUGGAUCAUUCAUGAAUUGGUUUGACAAACCAACAAACUAUACAAUUAAACCUUUACGAAUAUGAUUAAUUUAAUAUGUUAACACGGAUCAAUUAAUAUUCAAAUGCAAAUGCUUUAUGAGAGAAUGCAAAUCCUACGGCUCUCGAAGAACUUGCUAUAGGCGUAUAGCAUUUACGUAAAUAAGAUUUAACUAGUUUAUAUUUUGUUGAGCUGUCACAUUGGAGAUCUAAUUAAUGGUUCAAAUAUAUCUAAAAAGGGUACAAGUGAUCACAAGGCCCACUAUAGUAUAUUUGCUAUUUAAUUUGUCAGAAGGAUACAUAUAUAUACAGAACUAAAACAUGUUUCACGAUUUUAAAACAUGUUUCACAAUUUUAAUGAGGCCCUCGCUGCCUCAGCUUAUUUCACCUAAUUCAUAUUUUUAAUGAAUGAAGUGGAUAGCAUGCUACCUUUUUCUCAAAAAAAAAAAUAUGCUGUCAUAUGCAUCUUUUAAAUCCUUGUAUUACAAGGUUAGUAAAUUAAUUCCUCACGCCAAAUGAGAACAGUGUUUGGUAAAAUGAAAUUGCACAUGACCAAGUCAAUUAUGGAGGCUCAUAUAUAUCUACGUUACGUACUUAAUUACGGUGGGUUUUUUAACUUCCCCUCCGAAAAACAAAAAGAUUAACUAUAUAUUGAACGCAUUAUUAAUGCUCAAGAAUUAAUAUAUUACUAGUGCAGAGACCCGUGCGAUGCAGCGGGUAGAUAAUAAAAGUAAAAUUUAAAAAUUUUAAUAAAUUUUAUAUUUACGAUUUAUUGAUAUAUAGAAAGCUAUAACAUAUUAAGUACAGUUAAUUUGUAUGACUAAAUUUACAUAGUAAGUAGAGGCCCCCGCGCGGACAGACUCAGCAGGCACUUAUAUAGGUCCCGGCUCGGCUUCGCGGGACGAUACUUCUUGAAGGAGACAAUGUUCUUCAGAGGCUCUUCUUAUUCUUCUUCUUCUUCUUUGUAAACACAAUGAGAGAAAGAGGGAGAUGAGUGCGGAGUAAGAGAUUAGACGAUGAUAUUUUUUUAUGGUGCAUGUAAAAGAGUUACAAAAGAGAGGGAGUAGGAGAUUAAUUAAUGGAGGAGGGGAGUGGUGCAUGUAAAAGAAUUACAAAAGAGAGGGAGUGGGAGAUUAAUGGAGGAGGAAGGUGGUUAAAGUUAUAAAAUAGAAUCUUAAUAUGGUGCAUGUAAUUAAAUAUUGCAUAUAAUUAGAGUAGUGGUGAGGUGAGUUAGGCAUUAAGAAAAGAAGAAGGUGGUUUGAUUUAAAGUUACAUAUAAUUAAAUGUUGUAACUUACAUAUAAUUAGAGGAGUGGGAAGAUGAAGAAUUGAGAGUUGAAAAGAGGAGAAGGUGGUUUGAUUUAAAGUUGGCUAUGAGAAGUAAGAAUAACAUGUCACGUGGCAAAAAAUAUUGUGGCUUCAUAUAGGUUUAUAGAUUGAACGCAUACAACGAACAAAUAUAAAUAGCCUUUUCCACACUUUUAAAUUCCUAUAUGUUUGAUAUUAUUUUCCUUUAUUAAUCAACUAUAUAUCAUUCAUCUCUUUUAGUGUGUCCUUAAAAGCUUGAAAUAUUAUCACCACAAAAUGCCUCGUAAAGGUGCAUACGCACCCUUUCAUUCACCGCGAUAGAGUGAAUGUAUGCAAGAACAAAAACAUUAAUUUCAACCACAUUAUGCCAUACUCGGUGCUAUUUGGGUCGUAAAAUUUAUCAUAUUUUUCUUCACAUGCAUAUGUAUAAAUAGCGCGACAUCCGUGCACUCGAUUUGAGACCAUGAAAGCAACCCUUUUAGUUCGGCAUAUAACUCUUAUGCAGAUCGUUUGAUCAUGUACAAAUGGGUCAGAGCUCAAGGCAUGCGCAUAAAGCAGGUGUGGUGAAUGUGGACACAGCCUAUCAAAAUAUGGUAAGGUCUAAUGGUCUAUGGAUAAGCCCAAAGCAAAAGCUAACGAGGGCGGCAUGCAAAUAUAACAAUCUCUCAGUAACAAGCGAACUGUGAAAUGAAGAAGAAAAGAGACUCACCUGUCACCUCUUUAAUUUAAGUACUUGUUUCCCUCCAUUGUAGACAUUAGUGUGAUCGAGGGAAAAAAAAAAGAAAAUUAAAACUGAGGAAAGUUUUUAGGAAAUUGUUAUUACAAAAGCUUUUUUUUUUUUUUUUUUUACUGUCACAGCACGAUGUUCAAAAUGUUUUUGACUUGAUAUAAUGUACGUGCACUGAUAUUGCUUUUUCAAUAUUAUAUAUAUAUAUAUAUAUAUUAUUGAUCAGCUAGAAUACUUUUAAUAUUAUUUGGACCUUUUUAUCACUAAAUUUAUAAUCUUGAAUAAAAAAUUACAUGAUUGGAAUUAUACUGGUUCCUUAAAGUGUUUAGUGGAUGGUUGAUAAAAUAGCAUCAUCUAAAAAGUAAAAUUGAUAAUAAUGAUAAAAAACUAAAUAACACUGACACUGCUUAAUACUAUUAAAAAUAUUCCGGCCAAACUCACUCUCUCUCUCUCUGUAUAUACAUAUAUAUAGAGAACUAAGCUACUAUACUAUCGGUAGCACGAAGCGCUCUGUGCUACCAAGUUGUUUUCGAUGAUGUGGCUUCCAAAUCGACGAUCGGCUCUGAUAGACUUGAUCAACACUAUUGAAAGUAUUUAGAAACUAAAUUUCAUAAUUUUUCGAUAUCAUUUAUCUAUCAAAUAAAUAGUCUAAAAUUGAAUGGCUGAAAAUAAAAAUCUCAUAAAAAAUGAUGAUAAAAGAUUUAAAUUCAAGAUCAGAUAUAUUGAUCUUACUCUAAAUAGUGAAAGAAUUUUCUAUAAAAUUUUUAUCGCAUUUGAAUUGUUUUACAUUGUUAAACUCAUGAACACACCACAUUGGCCAUUAAAACUAUCAAUUUUGAGAUCUUUUGAUCACUAAAUGAUGUCGAAAAAAAUCUGAAAUUUAGUUUUCAAAUACUUUCAAUAGUAUAGAUCAAGUCUAACGGAGCUGAUAGUCGAUUUGGAAGCCGCAUCAUCGAAAACAACUUGGUAGCACGGAACCCUCCGUACUACCGAUAGUAUAGUAGUCGGGCUCUAUAUAUAUAUAUAUAUAUAUAUAGAGAGAGAGAGAGAGAGAGAGAGAGAGAGAGAGAGAGAGAGGGUGUGGGUGUGGUGUGGGUGUCAAAUAAUGGAGAACUUAAUGUGGCCACCAUAGAAUGGACUAGAAAAGGUUGGAGGUGGUCUUUGUGACAAGCUCUCGAAGCCUCUCAACAACCNGUGGGUGUGGGUGUGGCGUGGGUGUCAAAUAAUGGAGAACUUAAUGUGGCCACCAUAGAAUGGACUAGAAAAGGUUGGAGGUGGUCUUUGUGACAAGCUCUCGAAGCCUCUCAACAACCUCCACGUGAUGCCGCAUUAUAGGGUAUUCAUACGAAUCACUUCACAUCGAUCAACUCACUCACUCUCACUUCAUUGAUCUCACUGAUGCCCCAUGACCCACCCUAUAUCUCCCUCCAAUGAGUUGAGAGAAGGGUUCUUGUGACUCCUUUUGGGCUGUAAAUUAAUAAACGAAUCUUUCUACUGUUUAUAUAACCCCUCCCCUCUCCUCCCCUCUCCCGCACUUAUUUUCUUCAAUCCCUUUCCUGAGCCCUUCUGUUCAUUCUCACCCCCCCACCCGUUAUGUCCCUAUAUAUCCUCAUCUUUUUAAGUCCUUUUUCUUUGAAGCUACUUUGAAUUCCUUCUCUUAGCUAGUCAUUAAGUAGAGGGAACGGACACAUGAUCAUCUCUAGCUAGAACAAACAAAAGGAAGGAAAAUAAGGAAAAGAAAAAUCUUAUGCCCUAGCUAGAUAUAUGUCUUCUAUGCGGAGUCGCGAUCAUCAAAUUAGUAUAGCUAUUUCAAGGUAAGUACUUGACAUUACACACCCAGAUGUUACCUUAUCUUAACCCUCAGUAUCUAUCAGGCAAGUCCUUUUAUAGACAGCAGGAAGCAAGCCUUCCUCUCUCUAACUCCGCCGCCGCGCUCUCUCCUCCGACGUACGAUAUCGACCUUUUCGCCGCCCACUUCCUCCCUUCCGAUUGGCCGGGGCCACUGGACACGCCGGAUUUGGCUCCGCAAGGCAGCAAGGAGGCGAAUGCAGCUGCCGCGCCACCGGCGAGAGAGGGCGGCCAGAAAAAGCGCCGUUUGAGGACCGACCGGCACAGCAAGAUAACGACUGCGCAGGGAGUCAGGGACCGGAGGAUGCGGCUCUCGCUCGACGUGGCGGGCAAAUUCUUCGCUCUUCAGGACAUGCUAGGGUUCGACAAGGCCAGCCAGACGGUCGACUGGCUGCUUACGCAGUCGAAGCCCGCGAUCAAGCGGCUGAUCAAUGAGUCAUCCAACAAGAACAAUAAUAAAACCCCAGAAAAAUGUGAGUCGUGCACAUCAGAAUGGGGAGAUCUGAUCUCCGCAACUUCAUUAACAGCUUCAAGAAAGGGGAAAGUUGACAAGGCAGUGAGCAAAGCUGCAGUCGACCCGAAUCCCAGUAAAGGGUUGAGGGAGAAGGCGAGAGCGAGGGCGAGGGAAAGGACACAAGAGAAAAGAAGGAUGAUGGGUAAUGGGAUGGGAAAUGGUUGUAAAAUAUAUCAAAUGGCUCCUGCUGAAGCUGAGAAUAUUGUAAAGGAGGGAGAUUGCUUCAAUGGGGAUAAGAAUGAGCGUAGCACAGUGGCUGUGGUGCCCUCAUGGGACAUAUGCAAGAAUGGCAAGGUUGAUUACCUCAUAAAUGAGUUGAUGAACAAAGGUUUCACAGGUAAUAUUGAAGAAGAAGAAGAAGAAGAAGAAGAAGAAGGCAAUUCCUUUGGAAAUAUGCAGUUCCAGGACAGCUCCUGGGAUGACUACAGCAUGCUGAGUUUCUAAUUUUUAAGAGCUCAAUCAAUUGAUCUCCAUCUUAAUUAGUCUAUUUUAUCUGUGUUUCACUAUGUCUCAUUAGUUUCCAGUUAAAGCAUGCACUUUGAAGAUCUUGGAACCCUUCAGCUGUUCAGCUUCUAGUAUAUAUUAAGAGAUUAGAAUUCGUGUUGCGUAAAAACAUUCCAGAAAUUAACGUUAUAUAGAAGAAGAAAAUAUAUAUCUAUAUAUGUUGGAUGUGCAAUUAUUUUUAUCGAGCCUUUCACUCAAAUUAUAAUUCCUUUAAUUGAUCGGCCGGUCCGAGCUUAGCUUAAUGAAGCUAUUUAGGUUGUCUAAAAGGUUGUUCACAUAGUCCUUGGAAUUAAUAUGAGAUUGCUAACUGAAAGUGGACCUCUAAAGUGGAUUAGGCCUUAGCACAUCCCACCCUCUCAUGUUUACAAUGCAUAGCAGAAGUUCAAAACCUAAAAACUGUAGGCCGACAAGAGUUAUCAAGGUCAAAACCUAAAAAACGUAGGCCGACAAGAGUUAUCAAGAAAUUAUCAAGGCAUAUGGAGAAAGAUGAAGAUGAGAAGAUAGAAAAAAAAGUUAGAUAUGAUGGGCGAUAAUUGUCGAAUCCACAACCUCUUAUGCCGUCUGAGGGCCCAAUAUGGCUUUGAUACCAUAUUAAAACUUGUAAGAGAUUGAUCCUUUAUGAAUGGGCAUACAAAUAGGCAUCUCAUGUCUGGUUGAAUUAAAAUUAAUUUGAUCAAUGAUGUGUCCUCUUCCAACUUUAGAACUACUACUUUGCACAUAGAAUAAGCCGGUCCAUUGCGAUAUAUUCUAAUUAUGUAUAUAGUUGCUUGUAGCUUUUAGUAUGAAGAAGCUUGCAGUGUUUGGAUUCAUGUUAUUUCUCACUUCACAUUUGCAGUCAUGCAAUAAAUGUCAUUCAUCUGUGAUGAGAUAAAUAAUUCUAACGCAAUCAAGCAUAUGAGGCAUGUAAAGAUGUUGUAUAUCUAAGUUACCAUAUAUGAGUCUGAUUGUUACUAUCAAGAAAAGUGGCUUAUUUCGUCAUACAUGAUCAGUAUCUAAACUUUAUUUUGAAGCUUCAAGCUUUUUCAUAACAUUAUAGGUUCCAUGUUUCAAAUGUGCAAAAGAUGAUAGAAGCAUAUUCGAUUGACUAAGAUUAAUUGUUCAUUCCUUAAUUAGUAAAUGUUACAGCUUAUCUUGUUCAUAUUUACCUUAUGCUGCGGAUUUUGAAUUGAAAGUUAUCGAAGUUGGAAAACUUAAUGUAGAUUGAUUUGUUAUAAUAUUCAUUUGGCUAAACCUAAAAUUAUGCUUCUGCUUUAUUGACUUCCUCUAAAAAAGCAAGUCGCUAGUAAUAUAUUCAGCUACUACUCGAACCAAUUUGGAAAGAUUUAACAUGAAUUAGUACAACUCUUUUUUAUCCCAGCUAUAUACUCAAACCGAUUUGGCAAGAUUUUAACAUGAACGAGUACAACUUUUCUUGAUCUGAACAAUUUAGUUUAUUGAAUUAUGUAAAGACAGGUCAUUCUUGAUGACCAAUCAAAAUUCUAAGGAUGCCUAAAAUUAACAGAUUUCACCUAUAUGCAAAAAUUGUUUCAAGAAACUAAGUACAGAGAUUAAUUGGUCAUUCAACGGAUUUGAGUCAUUAACCACAAGCUCUGUUCGAUGAGUCAAAUUACGGCCACAUAUAAUACCUCUUCUAGAUAAGAAAACACAACCAGUCAUUACCACCUUCUUGAACAUAUAUAGUGUUUUGGUUUCCAAGAAGAUGUUAACAGUAAAAACAAACUGUUCUAAUAUCUCUAUUAAGCAGAAGUAAUAUUUCUAAUAUAUCUUCUAUAAGAAUCCUGGUUCAUUAGAUAAGCAAGGACCUUCAUAUAUUAGAUCAGAUCAAUAGCAAUGCGAAUAUAUAUUGCAUGUCUCCAAAUAAGAGAAUUGUAUUAGAAUCUCGUAGAUUUUAAUUGCUUCCUUUUCCUAUGUUUCUAUCUGUCAGUUAAAAAACAGUUAAAACUUGAUUGCCAACAAAUUCAUAUGGAAUAGGCCCAACCAUGUCUUGCAGAAUUUAUAAGGAUAUCUUUGGACCGUGAGAAAGGCAAGCCUGCCUCUGAGAACAUGCCCGCCUUGAACUGGCAGUCAUGCUGGGAAAUGAAAUGCUAGGGAACGAAUACUAGCAACAAAUAAAGAGUUAAAAUGCGAGGCAUGGCGAAACAACAAUAUUUGGGUGCAUUUCGACUUCAAUAGAGGCAUUAAUAAACGAAUUGCAAGAAGCAACGAACUAACGCUGAAAAAGAUUGAUGCUUAUGAUGAAAACAACAUGGCGCACUCUAUCGAUCUUUACUCAAAAAAUGAAAUUACAAAUACCUAAUGAUGUCUUUCAGUAAGCAAUUUCAGUACAAGUUGAACCACUGUGUUACUAAUUAACUUACAAUCUAAGCAGAAUCUAAAAGUUUUCACUUUAGUAAACAUGAUGAAAAGAGCUUUUUGCAAUACCAUUCAAAGAACCUCUUCAGAAGUAUGAAAUUGGUUAGCUUAAUUACUGGCUUAGUUACUAAAUUUAACUUGAAAUACAAAAGCCGCGACCAAAUUAAUUUAACUUGAGGCACAAUGUAAGAAUUUUGAGGUUUUUUUUUUUUCAUUUUUCCCUAAGGGGAUCCAAGAUUCUUAAGAUUUGAAAUGCGAAAAUGCAAUAGUAAGAGCUCCAAGAUGGUUGCAACAUCUAUGCCUGCCUUUUCUAGUCCUCUGCUUGCGGCCGCUUCAUUCCUUAAUUGUAUUCUUCUUUUUGCCCUAUGUCUAAUUAAUUUAAGUUUAUCAAUAAUUAAAACAUUAAUUAAUUAUAUGAGUAAUUAAACUACAUAGAUUAAAUAUACAUAUACCUGUUCGGGAGCCUUUGAGAUCAAACUACAGAGAUUAGAUAAGUGGUUAUAUUCAUACAUUUAAUUUCUUCAUAAAUUAAUCAUACCAUGCCUUCUUAUUUGUCUUUUGGUGGGGACCCUUUUUAUUGUGUUGAGAUUUGGUUCAUUUCAUUUAUGCGGCGCUUUACUACAAGUGGUCACCACAAAUCAACAGGAAACCCUUAGGGCAACACUUUGACUAUUAUAUAGUACUAGUGAAAUAAUCUGCUCGAUGCAACGGAUAAAUAAUAAAAAAAAAUUAUAGAAGAAAUAAAAAUAUAGAAAUAUAAAUAUUUCAUGAUUGUUAAAAAUAGGACAGACAGCGAUGGUAGCAUACACCAUCCUUUUUGAGGAUGCAUGAGGAACAACGGAUAAGGACCGAAGGGCUUCGAGUAGCGCGCAAGAGGAAAAGGAGGAGAGAAAAAGAAAUUCUAAAAUCAUGGGUGGAGAGAUAUAAAACCUUCCACCCAAACUGCUCUAUAGAUGAGAUGAGGGAAGAGAGAGAUGUCACCGUCGGUUUGGAAAAUAAGAAAAAAAGUAAGAGUUUGGAAAAUAAAAAAAAGUAAGAGAUAUGAGAAGAAAAAAAAAGAGAGAGAGAAAGUUAAAUGAUAUGGAUAUGAGGGAGAGAAAGGAUUUUACUAAGAUAAAAAAUAAUAGAGAAAAAUUUAAAAUAAAUAGUNUUAAAUGAUAUGGAUAUGAGGGAGAGAAAGGAUUUUACUAAGAUAAAAAAUAAUAGAGAAAAAUUUAAAAUAAAUAGUAGGUCCCACCAUUCUCAAAUUAAGCUGGUGCAUCCACAUUGAAUUUCACCAUAAGAAAUCAUGUAUUGGUAUAGAUACUACAUAUAAUAUAAGAUCUUUAGGACAACUAAUGUUCAUAAAGUAACUCCUUAAAUGAAACAAGCCAUCACUCUACUUCAACUACUUUUAGAACCUAACAUUAGGGUAGUACUUACUCUGAUGUUUUUGUGAUGCGCUAUGAGGCCAAAGUUUAGUUGUUGAAGAUGGAAACAACAAGCGUAGGUAUGACCAAGAAAUAAAGAAAACUAUAUUACACUACGGGUGCAUGGGGUAUAGUAUAUCUCUGUUUACCCCAAUAUACUAUAUACGUUGAGCACUUAAUUAGUCAAUUGAUCGAUAGGUUUACGUACCAUAUAUAUCUUUAUUGGACUUUAGGACAAAUAUUCUAUUAAAUCUAUUUAGCUUUUUGAAGUCUUUAAUGGUACAUUGGCAAUCUAUAUAUUACUACAAUGUUUAGGCACUAAUACGGCCAAAAAUAAAACUUAAAUAUAAUAUUAUUAAAUGAUCUGUUCUACUAUUCAAAUGUUAUAUAUAACAUCCUAAGUCGUUUUAGAUGAUAAGCAUCCCGAAUCAAUGAUUAGAACGUUAAAACUGAUCUAGAGCAUUUAUAAUGUUUAAAAACUAAAUUUCAUACAUUUUAAAAUUCAUUAGCAAGUUCAUUAAAGAGACAAAAAAUAAACGGUCAAAAACGAAUAACCUUAUGAAAACAGAUGUUAGACUUUUUCAAUUUAUAAUCGGAGUUAUUUAAAUAGUAUAAAAAAAUUUAUAUUAAAAAUUCAAGCCGUUUAGAUUGUUCUACGCUAUUAAACAAGCAAAUAACUCAUAUAUAUAGGCUAUCAAAAACUGUUGAUUUUGUAAUCCUUUGAUUACUACGUAAAUAAUUUUUUAAAUUUAUAAAAUUUAAUUUCUAAAUACUUUAAAUAUUCAUAAUCAAUUUUAAAGGUUCUGAUCAUCGAUUCGAAAUUCCUAUCAUCUAAAACGACUUAGAAGGACGAAGAGAUUCUAUAAUAUAUAUAUUCAUGUAAAACAAUUCUUUUUUUGUGAAAACUUAGCCGGUAAAGAACGGUAUUUUACUAGUUUAUCUUCAGCACUCCCUCUCAUGUUUGAUUCAAGAUUUUUAAUCAAUUAAUAGGAUAAGCUGCCAACUUUUAAUGAAACGAGUGGAGAUUUUGGCACAUGUAUAAAUGAACCAGAUAAGAUUUGAAUUUAAGAUCUCCUGUUCAAAUUCUUAUUAAUAAUUUAGUUUAACUCCGCUGAAAAUGAUGCUAACUGCUUGAUCUAGCUAUAGCUAGAACCAAUUAGUCCUCCACAUAAACCCUAAUUUCUAGAAAUGAAGGUAAUUAAUGAAGGUUCUCCUCUAGAACUCCCUAAUAAAUCUAUAGAAAUUAAACCCCUAAUCACUCUUCUAUAUGACCCCUAAUUACUCACAAUGGACAUGAAUUUCUGAAACCAUCACUAGCUAGCUAGAGAGUCGACGCAAAAUAUAUAAUGGUGUCUUACAUAUCUGAGACACCUAAUUCCGAUAUCUUUUUCCAAACCUUUCCGUAUUAAUGGUGUCUUAUAUCUGCAAAGCACGACAAGUACCAAUUUAUGAACAUAUUCUCCAAGGUUAAUUCUCUUAAAAUUGGUAUAUAUAUUUUGUUUCUUACUACGCGAGUUUAUAAUACUUAUCAAAGAAAACCAAUUUUGUUAGCAGAACCCAAUUCUAUUACUUUUAUAUACCCAUUAAUCAUUUUUAGUGGUUGCCAAUCAUGUUAACAGUCAUGAUCACCAUCAGACAAAUCUCAACUUUUUAAUUUCUUGAUGUGUGCAUGUAUAUAUGCNCAUUUUUUUUUUUUUUUUUUUCUUGAGUACUGAAAUUUUAUGCGAUAAUUAAACAAAUAUAUAUAGCUGAUGUUAACUCAUGAUAUUGAUUCACUACACAAGUAGUUUUUGAGCCAGUCCUACAGGCACCACCAGAUGCAUUGUUGGCACUCAACGUAUACUCAUCGUCAGAUUCUUAAACCAACCACUGUGCAUUAAUAAUUUUAUAUGAGAAAGUUUAAAAAUAUAUACUGAUGUUUUCAAAAUCGGCAUUUCAGAUAAUUAAUACCAUAAAUUCACAGCUAAAAGGCGCUAACUAGAAUUUUAUACGAAAUUAAUUAGUUAACAGCAUAAUGUGUAUCUUAUAGCUAGAGAGAAACACAUGCAUGAACUAUAUUUAUACACACACAUGCACCAAGAGAUAUUGAGGGUAGCAGCAUGCAUACAUACCUUAAUUUUUGUGUGUCCGAUCACGAAGAGACAAAUUAAGAAGAUCUAGUUUCGAAGAAACAUCAGAGAAACAUCAGAGGGUGCAGGAGUUUCGGUUUCGCCACGCCAUUUCAGGAAGGGAUUAGCCAACCUUUUCUUGCUCUUUUUGGUAUGUAAACAAGCUUUCAUGCUAUAUAUAGAUCGAUGAACUUGAUUCUGAUGUAUAAAAAAGGGCUGAGCUUGGAAAUGGCCUAAGUAAUUAAUGAGAUAUUGCACGACAAUUAAUCUUAUAGAAAUAAUAAUAAACAAGGCACGUAUAUAUAUAUAUAUAAGGUAUUGCUGUGGUUCUUCUUAGAGUGGACCACAUGAGCAGCACCCUUCUCAGGGGCUUUUGACUCUCGAGCUCGUAUUAUUGCUGUGGUUUUUUUUUUUAAAGAAAAGGAAUAGCUUUGUCCUUAAUUAGUACGUUCCAGGAAAUUGAAUCUGGCUCAGCUGUAGGCGUAGAGUAUACUAACAAAAGAAAAAAAGUACUUUAAAACUAAUUAAUCUCCGUUUUUAUUGCUUAUUAAAUACCAAUUAAACAAUAAUUAUUUCAACAAAAAUUGAGUUUAAUUAGGCUGAUCUAGAUGGGCUUGGGCAAAGUACGAGACUCGAAAUCACACCAGCUGGUGUUAACCAUUCGGGCGAAUUGAAAAGAAAAAAUCUUGUUUGCAACAAUUAUAAUUAAUAAGAUAUUUCUCAAACUAAUCAUAUUGUGCCAGGAAAGAGUCCAAUCACAAUCACGAAUAAUAUGAUAAUAUUACGUAUUCAAAAUGAUGCUCUAAAAUUUUUUUUCUCAUACUUUUAUUCAAUUAAGGACUGUUUAGUUGCAGGCAGUUUUAAUUAAUUUCACUGCAAUUGUCAUUGUAUAUAAAUUCAAAUCCGGUGUUUAGUUAAUUUGAUGUAUUUGGAUUUAACUGCUAUAUUUGGAACUGUACGAAGCAGCUCAAUUAUAGCAGUUGAAUUUACGCUCAAAUUAAUUAGUCGCAACUUCAACUGUAGUAAUUAAAAAAAAAAAAGUAAAUCUAAACAAAAAUAAGCUUCCCUUCCUGAUAAUUGUUUAAUUAGAAAUAACUUUUUCCUACAUAGGUGUAAUCUCUCAAUUUCGUAUAUAUAAAGUAAUAAAAUUUUAUAAAUACAAUUCAAAAUUGCAUAUAAUCAAAUAAAUUAUUUAUAAUUAUAGUGCUAUAUACUACAUCUAAUAAAAUACGAUGUAUACAAUGAUAACUACUAUAUUCUUUAUUAUAUAUAUUUUAAACUACACAAUAUUUAUAAUUACAUUCAAACGGUGGGAACUAUAAGUCUAUAACACACAAGGAUCUCUCCACGAAGAAAAAGUCUAAAAUAUAUCAAUUAUAUUAUUGAUGGGGUAUUCCCAGCUAAUCAAUUUUUUUAAAAAAAAAUUCACCAAAUCCAUCAUAAUUAUUAAAAAAUAUAUUUUUUUAUAUUAUAUAUAUAUAUAUAUAUAUAAAAUUUGAUGGAUAAUAAUACGUUGUAAAUGUGAUACAGCAGAAUUCCAUGAAUUGGGCCGGCAGCUACCCCGUGAUUGGUGCGGCCUAAAUUACAGUCGUCCCACAAAUAGCUGCUCAACAUUGUAGAGCAAUUAAUAACUCACAGCGCUUGUUCGAGGCCGUACGAUGCCAGAUCUGCCUCGAUUCGACGGCCCAAAUUGGCGGGAUCCGUACCCAAAUGAUUAAAAUAUGCUUCCAAAGCCGUCCAAUCACACCUAAUUAUCAUCUCCUCGACAAUGAAUUUCUAUUGUUGAUUAAUAAAUAGGCACCUACUCUAAAAUAAAUAAAUAAAUAAAUAUAUAUAUAUAUAUAUAUAUAUAGUCCGACUAUUAUACUCUUAUCAGUAUGAUCGCCCUCAUACUCAUAAGUUAUUUUUGAUGAUAGAGCUUUUGAAUCAACGAUUCAUAUCGUUAAAUAUUAUUUAGAGCAUUUAAAACUUCUAAAAAUCUAAUUUUAUAAUUUUUUGAUAUUAUUUACUUUAUAAUCAAAAGGUCACAAAAUUAACAAUUUUUAACGACCGAUAUGGAAUACUUGCUAGUUUAACGGUGUAAAAGAAUUGAAAUAGUUAGAAUUUUUAAUAGAAAAUUCUCUUUACUAUCUAAAUAAAUAUCAAUAACUCAAAUUUUAAAUUGAAGGAUCCGACCAUCCAUUUUGAGAACGUCGUUCGAUUUUGACCGUUCAUUUUUUGCUCGCUUGAUGAACUUUAUUGUGAUUUUAAAAAAUUAUAAAAUUUAUUUUUUAGAAGUUUUAAGUAUUUUAUAUUAUAUUUGACAGAAAAGAUCGUCGAUUCGAAAACUGUAUCAUAGAAAAUAAUUUAUGAGUACCAAAGGGUUCUAUACUAAUUUGGCUUUUGCGUAUGCUAAAUAGAUUAACACAUAACACAUGCAUACUAGAAGGAUACGGGUUAAGCUUACGUUUUGUUUGCUAACAGAGUUAAGAUCCUAAAUCCAAGCAUGGCUCGUCUAAACUUGGAUUGCUUAGUAAUGUAGCUUUCAUCCUCUGAGUCCUAUUAGUUUUUAUCACUUUUAAAGAUCGAUAGUAUAAUAAUAUUUUAAUUUUGGAAAAGUAACAUUUAUCAUAUCGUGGUAACUAAAAAUUUGAUGAAUAUAAAAAAAGAUGAUUGGACGUUACAAGGCAGGUCGCGGUGGACAAAGUUUAGUAUUUGGAAAUGGCAAGGAAAAUAAAAUUUAUAGACGCGCACAAUUAAAGCAAACGUAAGAGGGAGAGCGGGAUCCAUGCGUCAGUGAUGUGACAAACAUGUGCUGCUACAUGACACCUACGUAUCCUUUUGAAAUGUACGGAGCGUUGAUAUAAACCAAUUUUUUGCUGUAGAAAAUCAUGUUAAUCCUUAUCCACCCUUUCGAUGUACAAUAGUAACAAAAGAGAAGAAAGGUUUGGGGACUAGAGCUUGUUAAAGCCAUUCUUCGAUUAAAGUUAAAAAAAAAAAAGAGAACAACAACAUAAAGAAUUAAGAAAAAUGUCAAAUACAUCCAUAAUUUCAAAUAUUUGGAUUGUCGUAAAUUAAUUUUUCACUUUUUUUUUUUACACAUUUUAAUGAAAGUAGAGCUUUUCCUUUUCCACCUCUUUUACGCGAAAGAUGAAAACUACUCAUCAAAACAUGCGGCUCACGGCAGCAGAAAAAAAAACACGAUCGAGGAGAAAAGCUGAUUCUCGUGGACCGCAUAGGAGGUCUCAUCAUGGACCUAUCUUUCUUUCUUUAUAUAUAUAUAUAUAUAUAUAUNUAAUAUAUAGACUAGAAUAAAAUACAUAUAAUAAUAUCUUAUUUUAUUUGUUUUUUUUCUUUUUCUUUCAAGCAACUGUAAAUCCGUAAUAAAUAAAAAAAAAUCCUACAAACCACACACUAAAGAGCAUAAAAUUUAUUUUCUUCAAAAAAAAAUUUUCCAUCAAAAAUUACUUUUCACACUUUUACGUAAAACCAAACCGCCCCUAAAGUAGAACUCACCAUAAUGGUUGACAAUAUAGAACAAAUUCUAACAUUUUCUAUAGAAAUAGUUGUUCGACAAAAUUCUAUUUGUAUCAUAGCACGACUUAGCCAAUACUUGCUAUAUAUCAAUUAAUAAGCACAAGAAAGCAAAGGUUGAUCAUCAGAGCUCAAAGAAUAAGAGUAUCAGAUGGGGAAACUCUGUUAGAGCUAUAAUGUUAUAUAAUUAACCUACUGAAGGAACUAAAAGGAACACAUUCGGACCAGGCAAAUCAACAUUCACCCCAUGCCUUUUGAUCUCUGGCAGUAUACCCACACAUGAAGAGACCAUUUAAUACGAAGAAGCCGAUGGGCUUGACGGCCGAGGGCGGCCCCUGCUGUAUUUGGGAGGGUUAGUUCUAGCGACAUCAACAACUAUCAUCCAGCCAUUAAUUAUCUGCAAAAAGAAAGAAAUAAUUUGUGAGUUAUACUCUCACGAGAUUUUCGUUAGCCGUCGUGCCUGUUCGGCCUAGCUUCUCUACUGUAAAAAACACAAGUAUUUGGCAAAUAAGUGUUUUAGAACUUUUGUCAUAGUAGGAAAGCUAAAGUAAGCUUCUGAGCAUCGUGAAUAGAUGUUUCAAUUUAAAGCUUUUGCUCCUACUUGUGCAAAGAUAUUGCAGGUGAAGUGUUUGCACUAAAUUGUUCUAGUGUUUCUUCGAACAGAACAUCUGCAAAUGCUCCAGCUAGGCAAAACAGAACCGUCGGACAAAAACCAUGUUCUUGUUACCUUCCCAUUCAUCUCUCUCAAAGCAGCACCUGCUGCUUCUUCUGUCGUGUACUCUAUGAAGGCAUAACCCUUCGACCUUUUCGAUAUCUUGUCCAUUAUUAUUUUGACUGUUCCAAAGACAUUAAAAGAUACGUCAGAUUACCACCCAUUGUUCAGUUAAAGAAUUAAUAAUUAAUUGAUGAGGCAAAGGGUACUGUAACCUUCAAUGAGUUCACCAAAUCCUUCAAAAGCCGCACGCAAAGUUUUCUCAGAUGUAUAGAAUGAAAGUCCUGCCCAAAAAUGUUUAACAGGGAUGUAGAAAUGUAUCAGAAAUUUUACUUCUCACGAAACUCAAUAAGCUUUGUAACACAAAAUUAGGUGUAUAAAAGCAAAGAGUAAGAGCUUUUUGGAGGGACUGCAUUACUUUCCAAAUACAAAAGCAAUUAGCCUUAAAUUCAGAGACCGGACUUAAGAUGGACAUCAUGGUAAUCAAAUCCUAUCACAUGAUGCAUCUACCUCACCAACCAGGUUUCUUGUUUAAUCCAACUUGACAAUUUUUUACUUCAUGAAACCCCCUUUUAAGAAAUCUAUGGUGAAAGGAAGCCCUACAGGUUUUAAGGAGUAGGGGAUAUCCAUCUUGACAAGAAAUUAUCUAUAUGUUAUGUUCGUGGCACAGAACAAAUUAAUUGAUAAGGAAUAGGAUCCAUAUUCAUUAAUAGUCAAGAGUGUGAUACAUAUUUAUUCAUCUAUAUACCUAUCUAAAACUUCUUAUGAAACAAAAAAUCAUUACUGCACCUAAUAUCGACUUGUUUGGGCCAUUAGGUCCGCUCUUGCAUUAAUAUCCUAAUCAUCUGAAGUAAGCCUUGCUGCUUUACAUAGGUAUACUACAAUGGAGACCACACUGUUAUCUUUAUGACCAAUCUAAAAAGCGGAAUGAUAUUUAAUGGUAUUUAGAAGCAGUUUUAAAUGUCCAUUGGCCCUCUCAUACUUACACAUCUGCUCAAGUAACCAAGCACUCAAGUGCCUGUUACUUACAUCUGUUGAUUAUUAGACUAUUACCUUAAAUACACCUGGCACAUUCUUGUCAAGAAAUUUGUUACAUUCUUCUAAAUGUCCUUACUUGCAUAUUUUACCAGUCAAAAGGUCCUUAUGUUCUACCUUUGCCUACUAAACUUUGGACAGAGAACCAGAGCAUCAAAGCAAAUAUAGCGAAUAAUUUUAGCAUUGAAAAAUUUUACUGAAAAGGAUGAUAAUAUGAGUUCUUGGAAUAAAAGAUGAAUCAGAACAGCAUACAAACUGAUAAAAGCAAACAAAAAGAAAACCGUAACAGUAAGGAGGUACUUACCAGUCACAAAAAGCCUUUUGGUUUUGACAUCUGGCAACUGAUUUGUUUCUGAUGUCUUCGGUGAGUUGCCAUGAUCUGCAUAGUCACAGCUAUGUUGAAGUAUGGAAAGCACACAAAGUAUCAAUCCACAAAAAGAUAUAGCUGUCCCUUACAAGUUGUGAAUGAGAACAAUAAAAUUGAACAUAAGAAAACUUAAAAGUCGCCUUCAGAUCGAGACAUCUGAAAGUUAACAUGCCACACAGCUAAACUAUCCUCUGAACCACAAGCAUAAAGUUCUAGAGGCUCCACCGACCAUCAAUGCAAGUACUAUGGUCUACGAGCAUAUUGUACAGAAAUUAAAAAACCAACAUCACAGGAAAAUUCAAUUGAUUCAGGCAGAAAGUAAGACACCUGACGGACGUCUGUAAUCUUUGUUAUCUGACCCAAAAUUAUUAUCAGGUCGAACGGACAGGACCCCAGGGACAUCUAGCAUGCAAAUAAAAAAUCUCUUAGACUAUUGAAAUAUAAGGCAGACCUGUUGCAGAUGCUUCAGAGUACCAAUUACUCACCAGCUAGCUCUCGUGCACAUUCCUUGUCAACAUGGCAGCAAAACCCAAAAUCCUUCUCCCAUGAGAUGUUAUAUAUCGAAACUUGUGCAUCCUUCUCACUGCAGAAACAGAAUGUGUGGUAAUUUUGAUGAUUAUCAUUACAAAGGAGAAUCGAUAAUAUUGAAGUCAGAUUAAGGAGAGAGAAACACUCACUUUCCCAAAACCUUUGUUAGGAUCUGAGUGUAAUGAUCCACCAUUUGUGCUUUAGUCACGACUUCAACCCCAGGCUUCUCCAUUUGAACAAGCCAGUAUUCGUUUCUCCCCGUUGAUGGAGAAAAUUUAGGAGGACUGCUGUUAGAUUCCAACUGGUCAACAAACGAGAGGUUCAAAUUGCCAUAAUCCUUCUUUCCAAGUUCUUCAUCUCUAUCAGGCUUAACGGAUAAAACGCCAGGCAUACCUAGAGUGAGAAAGAAAAUGUAAAUAACAAGUGUAAACAAAAAUCAAAUUAUGCUCAAAUCUUAAUUUACACUCAUUUGCUUGUUAUCCUAAACUACAGAAAAAUGAUCCACAACUUGAUGUGUUUUUAAGUUGAAACUUGCUACCUCACUUGUUGCUGCGUUGUAAACCUGAAAUGACCAAACACUACUAUGUUCGAGCUAGUGACAAUUACUUAACCAUACAUAACAUAUGAAUAAAAGAGUGGAAUGCCUCUCCGAACUGUAUCAUUUGACUCCAUCCAUCAACUUAGAACCAAUAGAAUGAAAAUACUUCAAAGAUGUAUGAAAUUGCAAACUCACGGGCGAGCUCUUGCGACGACGCUUCAUCAAUUUCGCAGCAAAAACCAUAAUUUGUUUGCCACGACGCAUCAUAUAUACACAUCUGGGCCUCCUUUUCACUGUUCAUAACACCGAAACCAGUAAGAAGAGCCCAAAACGUACGCAGCAGUACGGAAACACCGGAAAAACCCGUACCUUCCCAAAACCCUAGCUAGGGUUUCGACGUAGUAAUCGACGACUUCCGCUCUCGACGAUCCACCAGCAGGGGGUUUCUCCAUCACCACCACCCACUUUGUACUCGCGGGGCCAGAGGAGGAGGGAGGAGGCGAAGCCGCGCCGGCCCCGGCCGACGACGGCGACGGCCACGGCGCCGCGGCGGCGCGCGCAGAGGCGGCUACAAGGCGGGGGAAGGAGCGGCGAGUGGGUUUGGGGAAGGGGGCGGCGGGUCCGGCACCGGAGAGAUGGUGGUUUUCCGGCGAGCGGCGGAGGAUGGCUUGAGGGUGGGAGAUGGCUAGGGUUUCGGCGACGGAGAGGAGGAGAACGUCCAUGGCGACCAUCGCCUCCGCCUCCGCCGCCGCCGAGAACGGAGGAAGUGAGAGCAACUCCUAAUUCAAAUGCUCUUCCCACCACCACAUGGUUACGGGAUUUAUCAUUUUUUAGCUCGUAAUAUAAUAAUAGUGUCAGUGUAUCACUCUCGUCCGUUGAUAUUUUGGCCCAUUUAAAGUAAAUUGAAAAAUUGAAAAAAAAUUUAAAUAAAAUAAAAAUAAAAGUUGAAAUUUAGUUAGAUUCAAGUUGAGCCUGGGUUAGUAUGGGACUUUAGAGCCGGGUCAGGUACUCAGGUCAAUGUACAAAAAAGGGGCUACAAUGGGCUGUUUGGGCCGGGCCUCUUUUUUGUUGUGGUGCCCCGAUGACUUUUUCAAAGCUUAAUUUGUCAGAAUAGCUUUAUGCUAAUUUUAUAAGUCAAGUCUCCUUUUUUUUAUUUUCUUUCUCUGACAAGGUAUGUUGUGAGAUUAAAGUAAAAAAACAAACCUUAAUCAAUGAGUUCCCGCGGUAUUUAGAAUAGUGGAUACUGGAUAGGUAUUCUCUGACCUUACAUAUAUUGUAUAAUAAUCACUUAGCCUUAAAAAAUAUUAAGAGACCUUUUGAUUAAAGAAAUAAUAAUAAAUAAAAAAUAUAGUUAAAAAUAAGUGCAGUUAAAAAUAUAGUAGUUGUGAACUUGUGAUUGUACCUAUCUCAAGCUAUAAAUAUUUUAUUAAUUAGAACUAGGCUGGAAUACUAUUAAUAGCACCAAUGGCUUGGUGCUAUUAAGUUUUCUGCUCUUAAGUUAAAAGAUGUGCGGUUUUGAUGAUAUGGGCCACCUAGGGUUGAGUGGGUGGUUAAUUGAAUAGUAUAAUCGAAUAGAUAAAAAUAAUAAAAUAGGUGGAUCUGAAACUUGAUAGUAUCAAAUACUUCGUGCUAUCGAUAGUAUCACAGCCGGACUCAUUAGAACUAGGCUGGAAUACUAUUAAUAGCACCAAUGACUUUGUGCUAUUAAGUUUUCUACUCUUAGAUUAAAAGAUGUGCAGUUUGGAUGUUGAAAUUAUAAAUUUUGUAAUAUAUAUAUGAGUCCAGUUACGGUGCUUGUAAAAGCACCAAGCACUUGGUGCUUGUAAGUUUUUUACCGUUAGAUCUACUUCUCGGAUAAUUUUCAACCAUUAGAUUAUACUAUUCAAUCAACCACCCACUAAACCCUAGGGGGCCCAUAUCAUUCUAACCGCAUAUCUCUUAAUCCAAUGGCUUUUUAAUCUACAAGCACCAAUAUCUCUCAAUUCUAUAUAUAUAUAUAUAUAUAUAUAAGAGAGAGAGAGAGAGAGAGAGAGAGAGAGAGAGAGUAGGUCUCCCAUGUUUUCGAAAGUACGGAGGCUUCCGUGCUUGUAAAUUGUUUUCGAUGAUAGGACAUCCGAUUCGACGAUCGGCUCCGUUAGGCAUAAUCUAUCCUAUUGGAACUAUUUAGAAACCAAAUUUUAUAAUUUUUCGACUUCAUUUACCAAGUGAUCAAAGGGUCUCAAAAAUGACUAUUUUAACGGCCGAUGUGGUAUGUUUUUAAGUUCAACGGUGUAGAAGUAUCCAAAUUACAUGAAACUUUAAUAAAAAAUUCUACUUAACAUCAAGAGCAAGAACAAUACUUCCGAUUUGAAAUUUGAGUCCUUUAUCGCUGUUUUUUAUAAAAUUUUUAUUUUCAGCCGUUCAUUUUGAGGCUACUCGUUCACUAGGCAAACGAAGUUAAAAAAUUAUGAAAUUUGGUUUCUAGAUAGUUCCAAUAGCGUAGAUCAUGGCUAACGAAACCGAUCGCCGAAUUGGACGUCUCAUCAUCGAAAACAACUUACAAGCACGGAGACCUAUGUACUUUCGAAAACAUAGGAGUCUAGCUAUAUAUAUAUAUAUAUAUAUAUAUAAUAUAUAUAUAUAUAUAUAUAUAUGGUACAGCUAUUUUCAAUGUAAAAUAAAGUAUAUUUUCAAUUUAAAUGGUUAUUAUGAAGAUAGGUUUUUUUUUUCUUUUUAAUUUAAAGUUAGAAUUGCGGCUAACAUAGGCAUAGUCUUAAUAAUUACAAUUAAAUUUCGAUGUAUACAAUUAAAUACAAAAGUUGAAUCUGUAUGUAAUAACUACUACAGUACGGUUAUUAUUUUAUGCUAUCAAACAGCUAUAAUUGCUGUACUAAUUCAGCAUUAAAACGCUAGUACCGAUAGCCAGAUGAUACAACAACAUGCGAUAGUUGACUUUAAACUUUAAAGGUGGGAUAUUUAAACUUACUUGAGAUCUUUAAAUUAAGAAGCUGGAACUCUUAAUCUAAAAAUAUAUAUAUAUGUACGUUAAUACGUAUAGUAUAAGCUGUCAAGUGACUCGUAGUUGGUUUUGGAAAUGAAUAUAGUUUAAUCAGCUGAUGCGCACGAAAAUUAUGCACAAGGCGCGAUCACGACCGUUCAAUCCUCGUGUCCCUCUUAGUCAAACCAAUCAUGUGAAUUAUUAUACACAGUAAACGACCACUCUAAAUACUCUUUCCCCGCUUCCCCCCUCCCCCGGCUUCGCUCCUCGCUCCUCUUUCUUCAACGACCAAAACUUUUGACUUCCUCAAGAAGCCGCACCUCCUCCUCCUCCUCCUCCAUUAAUGGCGACGGAGGAGCCACUGCCGCCGCCGCCGCUUUCGCAGCUCCAUGGCGUGGUCAUCAUCUCCCUCCCUCCCCCCGAUGACCCCUCCAAGGGCAAGACCAUCACGGCGUUCACCCUCUCCGACUCCGCCCCCCUCCACCACCCUCCUCCUUCGCCGCCGCAGCAGCAGCCCUCUCGAUCGCCUCCGUCGCCGGAGCGCCGCCGCGUCCUCUCGUCCUCCGCGAGGAAGGCGCUCGCCUCCGUCCUCGGCGCAUCCUUCCUCGUCUUCUCCCUAGGGCUCUGCCUCUUCUCCGAGGCGCCGCUCGAGCUCCUCGGGAGCGGCUCCGAGGAGGAAGGGAGGGCGCGCGACGAGGCGCGAUCGUUCUUGCUCCCGCUGUACCCGAAAACGCGGGGGAGGGUUCUGAGGGAGGUGGGGGAUAUCAAGCUCGCGGCGACGAGAGAUGAGGAUGGGAUGGAGGGGGUGAGAUUGGCGAAGCAGGGGAGCAAGAUGACGGUGUCUCCUUCUUCUUCUUCUUUUUCUUCUUCGUCGUCGUCGUCUUCUUCGGUGAAUUCGACCGUUGCGCUCCCGAUCCAAGGGAAUGUGUUCCCCGAUGGGUAAUGUUCUUUAGAUCUCUUCCCAAUAUCUUCUAUUAGUUUCUGGAUUUAAUUUGGUUACAGUGAAUAUCACAUCGGUUCUAAUUCAAUUUCAAUUUCAAUUUGCAUGAUGUGAGAAAACAUCGUUAGCCCAAGCUACAUGAAUAGAACAGUAGUUUAUUCAUGUACGGAGUUUCAUAUAUAGGACGGGUAUUAGGGUAUGUCGUAAUUUAAUCGCUUAUUUUAUUAGUAAAAUUUUAAGCUCAUUUUGAUGUAAUUGUGCAUAUGUGUGGUUAUUGUUUGCUUAUUGCCCUGCUAAUUCAUAUACCAGUUCUCUUUAACUAGCGGAUUUAGGAGCUAUACUUAGUAUGGUCUUUUACUUCUUUCGGUUCAAUGGUGCAGAAUCACCUUAAAUGUUUGCACUGAUCUAACCCUAUAUAGUUAUUUUUUCUCGAGUUCAUUCUCUCUUAGAUGCUUUUUGCAGACAAUAUUACACUUCCAUUUUUGUUGGGAAUCCUCCAAGACCUUAUUUCCUUGAUGUGGAUACUGGGAGUGACUUGACUUGGAUCCAAUGUGAUGCUCCAUGUGCCAGCUGUGCCAAGGUAUAUACAAUGUUACACCCUUAAUCAUGAAAUAGUGAUAAAACUAAAACAAAAUUUGCUUCUGUCGGAACUAUUAUCUUUGUUUAUAAAAUUCUCCUCUUCAAAAGUUUAGCAUGUGGCUUAUGAACACUUAACAGGAUACCCAUGAUUAUUUUCUACUCGGAUUCCAUAGUUUCUGGAUAACUACUGUGUUAUACUUAAAGUCAAUGUUUUGCCAGGGACCACAUCCAUUAUAUAAGCCUGCCAAGGGAAAGAUAGUCCCGCCUAGGGACUUACUGUGUCAGGAACUGCAAGGUAAUCAGAAAUCUUGCGAGUCUUGCCUACAAUGUGAUUAUGAGAUAGAGUAUGCAGAUAGGAGUUCCUCGAUGGGUGUUCUUGCAAGGGAUGAAAUGCAUCUGAUUGCUACGAAUGGUGACAGAGAAAAGCUAAGCUUUGUUUUUGGGUAUGUCCAUGUUCGUAGGUUUGACCUUAUAUUUAGUAAUAUAGAUAAACCUUUAUCUUACAGCUCUAUGUUCUAAUCACUUGGAACUCAUAUGUAGGUGUGCUUAUGACCAACAAGGUCAACUUCUAGCCUCUCCGGCAAAGACAGAUGGGAUCCUUGGACUUAGCAGUGCAAAAAUUAGUCUUCCUUCUCAGUUAGCCAGUCAAGGAAUCAUCUCUAAUGUCAUUGGUCAUUGUAUUACCAGUGAACCGAAUGGUGGUGGCUAUAUGUUUCUAGGUGAUGAUUUUGUACCGGUAUGGGGAAUGACAUGGGUACCCGCUCGUAGUGGUCUUGUGUAAGUACAAUCUUCUUCUUGUUCAAAUGAUUCUUCUACUUUCAAAUGAAUCUUAUACUUGUCAUUGUCUUUUUUUAUGUUGCUAAAAUUUCCAUGUUAGUUUUCUUAUCGUUCUGUUCAUUAGCUUUUGUUUCCUUUUUUUGUACAUUUCGCCUUAAUGCAGAUAGACAAUUUGUAAUGCUGAUCAUGCAUUUCCUGCAUAUUUCAGUAAUUUUUACUACACGGAGGUUCAGAAAGUAAAUUAUGGAGAUGUAACACUCAGCGCUGGUGGCCAGAAAAGCAAUUUGGUUCAAGUCAUCUUUGACAGCGGCAGCUCUUAUACCUUUUUCCCAAAUGAAGCAUACAAUAAUCUGAUUGCUUCUGUGAGUUCUUUGCCCAGACUUUACUAGUUCAUCAUUAUAGCCGACUAAUGAUUCUUUGAACUUGGCAGUUUAAAAAUCUUCCGAGUGGUCUUGCUCGAGAUGACUCUGAUCAAACACUUCCUGUGUGUUGGAGAGCUGAUUUUCCUGUCAGGUAGUCUGACGAAAAUUAAUAUGUGAAUUGGGUCAUAUUUUUCUUGUAUUUUCCGAUUUUAGCCAUUUCAACUUGGUGCUUCCGCGUAGUCUAAAUAGAUGGAUAAUAUGGUUCUUUUGUAAGAAACUGCUUGUUUGAGGGGUAUAUGAACUUUAGAAUUUAGGGGGAUAGCUUUAACUUGAUGAUUUUACCUGGAUAUAUAUGUAAAAGCUCCUUCUUUAGAUACAGAACCCCAAAAGUAGUUCUUCUGCAUGCAAACUUAAGAUAAUAUGGUUUUUCAUAUAAAAUUCAUGGUAUUGCAGGUCUGUGAAAGAUGUGAAGCGGUUUUUCAAGCCCUUGACUCUACAGUUUAGAAAGAGAUGGUGGGUCAUGCCCACAACUUUCACUAUUCCUCCAGAAGGCUACUUACUUAUUAGUGUAAGAUUCUGUGAGCUUUGUAGCUUUUUUAUUCCAAGUUUUUUUGUUUCUUAUUUUUUCCACCAUUUCUAUUCAAAAGACUCUUUGAGUUACAAUUGAGGCUUCGCAUGUGCAGGGUGAAGGAAAUGUGUGCUUGGGAAUACUUAAUGGAAUGGAAAUUCACCAUGGCUCAACAAUUAUAAUAGGAGGUACAGAUCGGCUCGAUCUUCUUUGUGCUAUACAUCAUGACUGAAUUUAUCUGAAUAUCAAUUUGCAUUAACUUUGACCGUAUCGGAAUUUGUAGAUGUUUCUUUGCGUGGGAAGUUGGUCGUAUAUGAUAAUGUGCGGAACAAAAUCGGAUGGGCUCGCUCGGACUGUGCCAAACCACAAAAAACGAGCAGCUUUCCUUUCUUCUUCUGAGGUAAAAUUGUACCGAUAGAAACGAUAGUAAUUACUGUUAAAUGCGACGGAUCAUCGAGGGCUUACUCUGCUUGGUCACGACCUUUGCUGUUGGGUCUUUCUGGAAUAGAGGCAGGUAGGAUGCAUUCAACCACCUCAGGUUCGGAUUUGCGCAGAUUCAAUUUGUUGUACAGUAUGCAAGCAGAAAUCAGAACAAAAUGUCUCGAUGGUUCAAACUGUUUUUGUCUUAGUUUGGUGUGUUGUAUAUAAUAGCUACCGAUGAAUAUAGAAUACUCUGCUUCAGUACGAGGGGCAUGAUAAUUAUGUCAUAUAUUUUAAAGUCAACUGGGUGGGCAUUAAUCUGGUCUAAACUUCCUAUUUACAUUUAGUUGUAGUUUACAGAGCACUGGGCCUGUGUGAUAAUAAAGAGGAUUCACCAAUACGCGUGACCGUCCACCAGAAGAGUAACAUCUCAACUAAUUGUGCCAACAAUUGGAGACAUCUUACCUGAUUAGUUAGGAGCAUAUCUUCACACCUACAGAAGUAAUAAAUUCUCCGUACCUUAUGAAUCAAAUGCUUAUUUGAUUGUAGAAAAUUCAAACAAGCAAUCCUCUUCUGAUGCUGGGACAAGUGGGGCUCUGCAAUUGUAUAUCAGGGGGACCGAUGAAACCCACACUUUAACCGCCGCCACUACAUGAAUAAGUGCGAGCUAGCACAAGCACUUCCUUUCAGAGCGAAACCCGCACUUUAACCGCCGCCACUAUAUGAAUAAGUGCGAGCUAGCACAAGCACUUCCUUUCAGAGCGAAACCCGCACUUUAACCGCCGCCACUAUAUGAAUGAGUAAGUGCGACCUAGCACAAGCACUUCCUUUCAGACCGAAACGCUGUAACGGAAGAACACUAGCACUUUCUUUUGAAGUGGCGAUGUUUCAGAGCACAAUGCCACUUAUCGUGCAGGUUGAUGUUGACGCAUGGAGUUUGGCAUGAGCUUAGUGUCAACAGAAUGAAUCUCUGCAUUGGAGAGUAGAAACUCACCUAACAUUGUCCUCUGUGGACAACUCAAAUUGUGCCUAGGAAUCCUCUUUUGGACCCAUGGUCAGGCUCUACCACUCAUGGCCAUUGGGCCCAACUAAUCGGUCGCCACCAGACCUUUACAAUCGACAGUGUUGGACCAUAAAGAAUUCUGAAAAAUGGAUUGAACUGGGUGUUAAGAAAAUAAUUGUGUGAACAAAAGGAAUCGACCUGCUGCUGCUGAAUUAACUGUCCACUAACUGAAGAUAGUUCUAACUGGACUUAAAAUAAGAGUUAUGCAGUAUAGCUAAAGAAAAGCUGGUAAUUUUGAAGGUAAAAUCAAUAGAGUAAUCAUCUCUUACCAAAUAUAUUACCAGCCAACAAUGCUCUCGCUCCCUUCACAAGUGAGCUUUGAUGCAUAUGCCAACUUAAAGUAAAAUACAAUAAUAAUAAAAAAAAAACACUAUUUAAGCACUAAAAUAGAAAUUGUCCUUGUUCAGUUAAUGCAAUCAAUUUGAUGUGAGAUUACAAGGAUUCAAGCUAUUAGGUAUGAACAAUUGAAACCGUAGAAGAGAGAAACCAAUUACCGACAGCUCCAUGCCCACAUACAGUUCUAACAUAUCUCCAACCAAAGAAAAAAAAUAUAUUAAUUACAUUUCCUCAUAAUGAAAUUGCAUCCACCAUGCUCACGCCACGACAAAUUGGGUAGCCAUCAAUCUGCUUUCCUGUUGAAGCGGGAUCAAAUAUCACCAAGUUUCUGACAUUUUAUCAUUUAACCCACAAAAGCGACCUCCUUACAAGCUCGGACUCUUCGUGGACACGGACCUCCAUCUCCUUAAUGCAGACUUCCCAACAAAAAUUGGAUCAAAUAUCACAUGACUUUUGAAGCUUCGUAGUUCUACACACAAACCUUCUAACAAAUUCAUACUCUUCAACAUCAUGAACACACUUUCUCCUCAAUGUAGAGCACUUCAACCGACUGUACAUACUUUAUUGAGAUCGCAUCUUCCCCUUCUAUUUUCAUGUCAGCAACAGAUAAACGCACAAAGGGAUCUACAAAAUUUUCCAGAUUAAGAUCUAAUCAACUCUUCAGUCCAAUAAAUUUGCAUAUUCUGCUUAAGAGCCCAGAAGUCUUCGCUGCUGGUUCGUUCACCGGAUCCCUGAAGUUAGCUACCUUACUAAGUUCUUCGAAGGCAUCAACAAGAUUCUGAAGCCUGGCGACAAAUUCAAUCAGAAGUGAAGCAAAUGUUGCCAGCGAUAAUGCACUUGCACUCUCGUACACUUUAGAUUCUUCUUCAGCAGGCAGUACAUCUAGAUUGAAUGAUGAUCUCCUAGCAGGCCAAGAUAGUUGCUGCUUCAACAACAUGUCUGCUGUUGAAGAGGAAUCGAGUCUACUGAUUGAAUUAUGAAUGAUCGAGUUCUUUGAUGAUUGGAUCGAUGCAAGACCAAGAACCACUUCACUAUUUGAUUUGGUUGCUGGAUUUUUGUUUUCUAUUUCAAUGGAAUUGAUUCCAUCUGAUUCUUCCUUUAUUUUUCCUUCGAGAUGCUUAUUGCCACCCCAGCUUUCCCAAUUCACUAGAAGGUAUGAUUUCUGGUCUACCUUCUUUUGUAACCGUUCAGCUGCCUCAUGGACUUCUAAGAGAAUAUCUUGUGGACUUAAUUUUGUCAUCGUCUUGACUUUGUUUCCCAAAUCACGUAAUACUUUAGCACCUUCAAUACCUACUCUCCGUAGUUCAUCACUGAAAACUUGUCUGCUCUCUGGUGGUGCCUAUAGAAAAGGAUAUAAAAGAAGUUCUUAAAUGCCAAAAGUGGGGGUAGAAAGACAUGUCUAAGAAAAUAAAAAUAGUUCAAUCCAAAUAAAUAUGCACAUGAACGUCCCAAUUAACAACUGCAUAACUUCUUUACAGCUGCAUCGUAUCAAUGACGGCAACAGUGACUAUCAUGAAAAUAGCUUAACACAAGAUUAUAAGGAAGCAAGUAUUAAAUCCAAAAAAUUAGAUAAUUUGGUAUGUAUAUUACUUUGAACUCAAAAAAGAAAAGAAAAGAAAAGAAAAGAGGAGCUCUGAUCUUUUCACAAAAUGCUUUAAAGUACCAUGCAUGUCACCGUUCACAACUUACCUGCGCAAAAAAGUAAGAAAAAGAAACUUUAGACCAAACGUAACUUGAAUUAUUGCCAUACAGAUUCAAUUUUCAAUCCAAGCGAACCAAUGGCUCUGCACUCUGGCAGACAAUAUAAAUUAAAUAUGCCUCAACAGACUCAAUUUUGACUCAUACAACAAAAUACACUCCAACUGUUCUAGCCUGAAUUUGGUCUGCAUCACAUUGCUUCUCAUAUUGAGCAUGCAAUCUCCUGUCAUAUCCUAUUAAAAGAAAAAAUUCCAGUACAUCUUGGAUAACAGACCAAAAGGUUGCCUUACAAUCAUGGGAGAAAAAAAAUUACGAUAGAAGCGAAGCAAACCUGUAUUUCUGCAAGUAUGCAGCCAUGCAACGCCAUGACUGUGAAUGCGCAGUGCCUCAGAGCCCCACUAACUUUAAUAUAGUUCUUCCAGGGAUACUUUAGCAUCUUGUAAGGACCAUGUGGAGGCUCCCAAACAGCAAAACCUAACUGCAAAAAAAAAGAAAAAGGGUUCACUAACAUCCUAGACAACAAGAAAUGUCACGAUAAUUGUUUUGAAGUAAAUACACACAAGAGCAUCCUCUUUGGCAGUUGACUCAACAGCUGACCUAUACCCGCUGUACAAAGGAUCAUCAGAAGCUUGGUACGUAAGGAUUUUCGAAGGGAUCCUUUCAUACUCCAUGCAUUGAAGAUAUCCAUUAACACAGCCUGACAAAACACAAAUUAGCUGACAAUUUUACGCUAGGUUAAAAACCGGAUUAUGUUGUUCUGAUUUAAGCUACUAUGCAUCAUAAUGAUGCCUGGAAUACAUAUGGUAGACAAGAAACAAGCAUGAGAAAAGACCUUCCAGGGACUUGGCAACACCUAUGAAAUUUUUCGCUACCAAGUUGUGCAGAUCUUCUCCUGCCCAUAUUGGAUAGAUGCAGAUGUUGACUCCCAAGCAAACACAAGCACCGAGUGCAAUAAGUAAAAAGCGACUAACAGCUGUAUGGAGAAAUUCUUUUGUCCUGUAUCCCGAGACCAUAAUGAAGCAAAACGUGAGCAGGAAAACUCGAAAGCCAUACUCAUAAGGCUUCAUCGUCGGGUAUAACUUCAUAUAGCUUGCAAAGAAUCCUGGAAUUCAGAGCAUUAUGGUGAUGAAAGAUGCGAGAAGUAAUAUAUUACAAGUAGGGACCACUAAUGAAAAAGAAUAAAAGGAGCAAGGUUUUUAUUAAAUGGUAUCAUACCCACAAUGAAAAUGCUAAUCAUAAGAAAAACUUCUUCCAACGGUCCUGUCAAUGUAGAUAAUUCAGCCACUGCUAAAGCAAGUCCUCCAGCAGUCAAUGUUCCUAAACCCCGAUUAAAUCCUUUGCUUAAAGUUGCACCUGUAUGACAGCAAUGUCGAGAUUAGGAGGCAUUAUCAUGACAAACUUGCACUGUAUAGUUAAGAAAUGAAUAUUAUAAACUAUGGUUUUGAUUUUCCAUGUAGUUUGUAGAGAUCAUUACUGUCAAUAAAAACUUGAUACCACUUUUGCUCUUUUCACAGCCAAUUUAAAGCCAAUCGUUAGCUCUAGAAAGAAAAUUGGGUCCAUCAUACUUGGAUGGUUUGGAAAAACAACCAAACAAGCAAAUUUAACAGAGCACCAUCCUUCUCCUUGUAGUAGAUGAUUUUUGAUGUUUCAAAUCUGUUAUACACCAAAGAGGGUCAGUAUUCAGCAGGUAAUUCAGAACAGGUCCCUAAACUUUUUUAUUCUUUUUUGUAUUAAUUUUACCCCCAAAAUAACAGAUUGUCUUCACAAUCUAUGUAACAUAAUAUUCCGUAGAUUAACUAAAUAUCCAUUACUUAAUGGAAUAUUUUAUGAUUCUUUUUAACAGCAACUUCAAAUUUGAUCAAAGCUAAUUAAAAAAAAAACUUGUUAGUUGGGGGUUUGAGAUCCAAAAAAAGAAAAAAAAUUAGGGACCUAUUUCCAAAUCACCUGUAGUUGGGGGCAACCAAUACAUCAUUGAUCUUUAGCUUCUUCCUUAUGCUCUAUGAGAUCAAAAACACCCCAGGAUAGACUUCUUUAUUGUUAAUUUGUUAGUUGGUCUGCAAACUGUUUAAUUCAGUAGACACUAAAGAAAAAUCACACCGUAAACAAAUCAGCAAGGACAAUAAUAAAGAAGCACAUCCAUAAAUUCUCUUGGCCUAAAGAAAUUUGAAGUGAAAACAGAAAGAAAAGAACCAUAAUCAUUGCAUCUACAAAAGGGGAUUUACUUUUCCAUUAGUAUAAUUGGGGCAUCGAAUGAGGGGAGGAAACAGGUGAAACAUAGGUUGGCUAAAAGGCGAUGUUAAUGAAACCAAAGAGGCAGAGCACUUGGGUGGAAGAAACGUAAGAAUUGGCAAGAGGAAAUAAGGAUUUGUACAGGUAGGUUAAUUUAUUGUAAGAUCAAUCUCUUUUCCGUUUAUAGAUAAUUCUUGCACUUAAAAAAGAUCCAAAAACGGAUCACAAAAGGACAAACAUUAAUAAAUGCCAAAAGGACAAAUCUAAGAUUUCUAUGAUACAAGGACAGUGGAUCAAUCAGCAGAUAAAAUAAACAACACGGAGCUAGUUGAGAUGUACGCAAGUUAACCCUAAUCAAUGUACACAGUAAGUGCCUAAAGAAUUUUGAUCAGGAACUCUAAUCAUGCUGGGUCUAAGCAAAUUCUCUACCCGAACGAUGAAUUGAUGCAGGAAAAAGUAGAGAAAGAAUCGAUUGGGGUCGUUCCUGUGAUGCGACUCACCGAUGCUGAAUUCGAAGACGACGACGACGGUGAGGAUGGCCCAGACGGAGUGACUGGAGAGGUCCUUGAAGGGCUCCUUGAGGAAGAUGAGGAAGGAGAUGAGGGUGAGCGCGAACCCUAGCUUCGCUGCGAACACCACAUUCCGGGGGUCCGAUCUCCCGAACUCCCACCCCUCCACCGCCAAACCCCGAAGCCUCGGUCCGAUCGAGGCGAUCGCGUCGCCGAUGCGGCGGAGGAGGCCGCGGUCAUCGGCGCCGGCGCCGUCCCCGCCGAGGAGGGAGUCAAGGCCGGGGCCCCAUCCGGGGGCGUCUUUGAGGGACGAGGGGAGGAGCCGCUCCCGGCUCCUCUGCUCGAACACGUAGCGGAAGGAACCCAUCGGAGGCGCCGACGCCAUUGUUGACCUCCAAGGGUAGAGGAGGAGGAGGAGGAGGAGGAAGACGAAGCGAGAGGGGCGAGAGAGAGAGAGAGAGAGAGAGAGAGAGAUGCAGUUGGAAAAGGUUUGUUUCUUUAUUGCAUUCGCUCGCGUCAACGGGAGCUUUUGCGACGAGGGUUACAUGAAUGCUGCGGUGGGGCCCGCAACUGUGGGAUCGACGUGGCAGAAUCAGAACCAUGAAGUACAAGAAUUGUAUUUAAAUCGUUGGUGUUCUAGCACGUGCUGCUUACGUCCGGGGAUUAUAUUUCUUUGAUUUCUGAACGUUGGAUUCCGUGAUUCGCUUUUUUCCUCUGGUACGGGGAGAGAAGAUUGCAUGCGUUUGAUACAAAAUGGACCGUCGUGAUUUGGCCUUUCAUCUAAUUGUUAAUUAUUUUUGGAUCAUGUAAUAAAUAAAUGCGGAAUCAGCAAAGCUUUUGUUAUUAUAAUUCCAGCGAAUAUUGAACAAAAUUAAUUUAAUUUCACCAUAUUUAUUUUUUUAAUAUUUAGAUGAUAUCAUUUAAACUUAAAUUUUUUAUUUAUUUUAAUUUAAAUUAUUUAAUUUAAAAAAAAUUAGUUAUAGUAAUUAUGUUAAUAUAUUAAUAUUUAACACA
rnacentral:lncRNA from 1 species